rnacentral:lncRNA from 1 species
AGACACAAACUAUAUAUGCACAAUUUAGAAGCUUCCACUACAACUGUAAUGAUGGCUCCAAGGGAUCACCAAUAUACACAUAUAUAACAAUUCACAAUAAUAACAUAACCCUGGGUGAUCCCACCAAACAGUUCGGGAUUGGGACCCAUGCCUAACCUGCAUAGCCAGUUUUCAGAAGUUAUGGAGACACUCGGACUGCAUUUUCACAGAUUGCCAGGACCACACUUGAAACCAGCAUUUUCUGGAAUUGAAAGCUUAGAAAUGUGGAUUUGUAUCAUACAACAAGCAGUAUGCGUGUAAAACAUGCUAUAUGAGUCUGAUGAUUAGCAGAUACAAAAUUCAUGCUAAGUGGGUUCGAACGAGUAAACAAUAUACAGAACUAGAAGAUGAAAAAAUAUUUCUUGUUCAAGUACAAAAGAGUAUCUCUAGCUAUUGAUAAUAUGGUAUUUCGACUCCACAUAGCCUUCUGUCUCCCAUAAAAAUGAUCCAAAAGAAACUGCCUCCAGCACCAGCAUUGUCAAACCAGAGUAUGUAACAGACAGAACUUCAUCAUUAGAUACAUCUAGGGUACCAUCACCAGUAACUUUAAUAUCGGGCCUUCCAAACAAUGCUUGUGUCUGCUUUUCAAUCACAGUAACUGCCUCUUUUGAUCUUAAGGUUGCAUAUCUCUGUAAUGUGUCCGCAUCCAAAUACAUCACAUAGGAUCUCAGCCUCUCUGGUUUACCCUCAAUAUCAGAAACUGCAAAACCUUCUCUGUCACCAUCUUCAGGGUAAAUUUCUAUCAAUGAAUCUGGAUCCCAUAGUUGUCUCGGUGCUGCUGGCUCGUCAGGAUUCGUUGAGAUCUGGAAGCUCUCAGGAGGCUUACUCACAGAUCUUUCAAGUUGAUAACGUUCGUCAACCCUUUUGAGGAAAUAUCCAUACAUAAUAGAAGCAGCAUAGAGCUUGCCAAGUUUGAUUUUGCUCAUUUGAACAAUGCUAUCAAGAGGCCCCACAGCACGCUCACCAAGAACUAUGGUUAUGUGACUGAUGAUCAUUUCAAAUGCAUCAGGGGAGUGUACGGACUCUAGCUUCUGCUCUUGAUUUGGCCAAUAACCCACAUUUCCAGUAGGAUCUGAUGUUUCAGAUAUUUUUGGGAUCAUUGAAAUGUCAUUCUCUACAAAUUUAUGUACAAUUAAGCAGUACAGAAUCUCCUCUAAUAUUUUCCGCCUUUCUUUCUCUUUGACUUCAGCUAUUCUCCUGAAAUUCAAAAAUGUACUUAUAUGAAUAAUAUCAAUAUAAAUAGACUUGGCUGUUUUGUUUUCAAUUGGGAAGGAAAACAAUAACUGAAUAUGUCACCCUAAGCAAACAUAAAGAAGCAAAGGUCAAGUAAAUUACUUUUGGAGGACAUCUUUGGUAGAAGACUGGUUUUCCUUUAAUUGGGCAUCCCUUUCAUUCUGAAGGUUAUCCAGCUGCUGUUCAAUAGCUGCAGGGAGCAGAUGGGGAUGGGUUUGCAACAUCUGGGCUAAAAAUUGACCAACAGCUGACUCCAACUGAACAGGAGCAACUGGGACCAAAUCACCUCCUGAACUUCCUGAUGCUGUUGCUCUUAUUUUCCAGCUUCUAGUUUGGGCCUUUCCUAGUCCAAGUCCUAGCCUCGGAACAGAAGAAGAUGGAGAGCUCUGCAGAAGGAAGUAAGAUUACUAGAGGCGAUAAAUGUAAGAUAGCUAAGGUACUUGAGAAAUUUCUCUUGUGAGAAACUGGAAUCUAGAAAGUACUACACCUUCUUGACUCUCCAUCAAGAACAUCAACAUACAAUUGUAUAAACAGCUAAACGGUCAAAUACAGCUGUUCUUGUUACUGCUUGAGGAAAACUGUAUCACAUGAAGCCGGAGAGUAUACAAGGACACACAUACUAUUAAUCACACGAACCUCCCACCUCAAACAAGGAAACAGCCCUUAAACAAGUCAUCAGAAAAAAUGUUCCCAAAUUCCAUUACUCAAGCAUACAAAACGGCACAAAUGAAAUCCAAAAUUUUUGAAUUCAAAUAAAACUGUACUUUAAGUCACAAAUAUAUAAUUUAUUUACAGGAGAAAAAUGCAAAUAGAGUCCUUCACUGCACUAACUAGAGAGAGGGUAACAUAUCCUAUAUAGUUAAGGUCUUAUCCCAUUAUUAGUAGCCAAAGUGUGGGUCGGCUAAUUGCAUAUCUUUUCAGCUUAUGAAAUAAGCUUUCAACACAAACAAGAUGUUUCAUGCACUGAUUAGCCAAUCUUUCUAAAGAGCAAAGCUAAACAAAACAAUCCUGAGCAGAUAUCUUUACACAAUAUAAGUUUACCAAACCACACGAUGUUCAAGAACAAGUGAGAUAGCUUGAAAAUGUUAGUGAUAGAUAGAUGGUUUUUUCCUCAAUCACAUGCAUAAUGCAACCACCUCUGUAUCAGUCACUUUCAUACUCCUAAAAGACUUUCAAUUAUAAUACGAAUUCAAUGUCAGUUACAUGAAACAAAUUCAACUUUUACUCGCUGACUCGGAGAGAUAUUAUAAUCUGGCACCCUGAAAUAGAUCUACCUAAAGAAUUUCCAAAUUGAGAACAGACCAAUUCAGCAUACUUGACGUAACCCCUUUAUUUUUUUAAUAAUAGUAACAGUGUAUUCAUCAGCUUAGGGAAUGCUGGCCACCAUAUUUACAAGUUGUAAGCAAAGACAAAAAUCUUGUUCAUCUUACAAGAAUUAAUCACAAAUCUUCACAGGGAACAUAUGAAAUCUACCAAGGAGUCAUUAUCAUCUAGAAAGCUUUCUUUACACCAAAAAAAUAACGACAAAUACAUUUUGACUUCAAUCUGUCUACACCUUUGCAUCAUAUGGACAAUGUGUACGAAGAGGAACUCCACAUAUUUGAAGGUAAGCAACUGCACUUCAUUAUAUUAAAUCUACAUGUUUUUAGUUUCUAUCAUUUCGGCGUGAAAUGAAAGAUGUAUCAUUAUGACAAUCUUUUGGACUUCAUUACUCUUUGUAUCAUAGAUAAAGGAGCUUAAGUCCUUUAUCUUGUUUAUAUUCGUACCGGGUGAAUGCUGUCUUUGUGAGGAAAAAUAUUAACUUAUACCCCAGAAAAAUGACUGAACAUGCAGAUUCCAAUUAGGAUCAUGCAUCCUAUUUCAUAUUUGACUUUAUAACCGCCAUAUGGUUCAUUACAAAAAGCUACGUGCAAUGUCCAAGUGUUCUGAGAGCCUUUUUCCCGAAACACUUCCAAAGGUUCAAAGUGGUUAAGACUACUUUCCCACUUAUUUCCUCAACUGUAAGUAUCAUCAUGCUAGACUCUUUUAAUUCAACAUUUUCUUGCAAAACCGAAGAGUAAGAAAAUAUUGUUUCUCAAUCUAUGAACUAAUGAAUUUUGUAUUCAAGCCAAAUGCAUACCAUAUCAAGUUUGGCGCUGAGUUCAUUUCGAUCUGCAUUAUGCUCGUCGUGAAGCUUUUAUAUACAGCUUGACAUGAAGCUCUAAUCAAGAAAGUAGUACACACCGUAUUUCUACAUCACCUUUGCCAUAAUACUUGCUUACGCCAUAGUGUUAUUAACAUUCCUAUAAAGGAGGAUAUAUUCUGGUUCAAUUAAUUUUAUAAUCUAACAAAAUAAACUACCUAAACCGCAGCCACUGGAAUCUCUUUCUUCUAUUGUGUAUUUUCCUAAUGAAUACUCAAUCAAAUUAUUUUGUGCGCUUACAUAACCCACAGAAAUUAGCCUAUGUGGGCGCUCAAUCAAUUGUUUGAACUGGACCGUCCGGGCUCACUCUUAAACCGAAGUUCUAUUUUCAACUAAAAUAGCAAUACCAAACAAAUACUGUCAAAUUCUAACUUCAUCAAGUAAUCUUCAUAAACUCGUAGUCUCUAUUAGCACUGCGAAUCUACGAUUGUUUAUCCGAACCGAAACUAAGGAUAUUUCUUCUUCUCUUUGUUUUUUUCCUUUUAUACUUGCAUUAUAAAGCCAAGAUAUAUGUACAAGAAACUAUAAACAUCAUAAAAUAAGAAUCUCAUCUUACUUUGGAGAAAGAAGGAGAGAGAAGGAAUUUGGAGUCGGAAAAUGCAUUGGAGAGUUUCAAACCGCCGGCAGCUGACGGAAGAACAACAGACACGUCAGCGAACAUUACGGACAUUUUCGUUAACUAUUUUCGGCGGCUGAGGCACCGGCGGUUUCCCGGGGAACGGAGGUGGAGAUUCGGCGAAGCACGGAAUCUUCUAGUGGCUACUGCGUGUGUUGCUAAUCAACGGUAGAGCCGCAAUUUUGCUGAUUUUUCUGAAGAAGGCAUUGGUUGGUUACGUGGAAUUCAAACUAUAAAAAGUAUCUAAUCUUCUUUCCUAACUUCUUUCUCUUCAAAUAUUUUUUUUCUAUGUUAAUAUAAAAUCAUAUGCUAUAUUUAAUUAUAUAGUUAUAUAAUAAUAAUAGGUAUAUAAUUUUUACGUAUAAGAGCUCUUGUGUCAAUCAUUAUUAUUUUUGUAACACAAUUUUAACUCGAUAAUUUCCUAAUAAUUUUAUACCUCGCAAUUCACAAGUUACAUUAAUUUAUUAAUUAAUACUAUCGACAUUGACUCGAUUAUUUCCUAAUAAUCUUAUACCUCACGAGUCACAUUAAUUGAUUAAUCAAAACAAUAGCUUGCUAUUUGGGACCCCAAAGUUGAUUUUCUGCUAAACUAGCACCAAACUCUUCAAUAUACCCUUAACAAAAUCAUACAUAAUAUUUUUUGCCACAAGAGUAGAUCCAUUUUUCUUUUGUAAUUUGUCAUGUUACUUCACUUAAGUAUUUCUUUUCCCGAACUACUUUGAUAUGUUUUUCCUUGGAUCAAAGGUCUAGCAAAAUCAUUUAAUAUUUUUAGUUAUCAGAGUAGAUUCAUUUUUCUUUCGUAGUUUGCUGAGACUACUUCACUUCCGCUUUUCCAGAACUACUUUGAUAUGUUUUUCCUUUGUCUAGCAAAAACAAUCUCUCUAGCAAAAACAAUCUCUCUACCUUCUGACGUAGGAGGUAAGAUCUGUAUACAUCCUUUACAUGUAAAAUUGUAUAUUGUUGUAGAAAUUAUUGUUGGAUCAAGUUUCUAAGUAAGAGCACCAUUCACUUUUUCACAAGAAGAGAACAUCUUAAAGUUGAAAAUGAGGAAUGUCACCAACAGUUAUCUGAGGGAAAGGACAAAGGAAUAUGAUUCCAAAAGAGGAUAUAAUAGUCAUAUUGGAAAUUCAUUAGUUCUAAGAGCAGACUCAUCAACUAUUUCAUCAGUACAUACAAAUUUGAGCAAACAGAGACACCACCUAUUAGGCACAAAACUAUCACGAGUCAUCGGUCACAUACUCUACAUAUUAUCCAGGUUUCUCGACCAUAAAAGAUCGGUCCAAACUGAGAAACAAUGGACAACAUAGGACAACGAAUCCUGAUACCAAAAAGCCUCACAUUUCCAUAGAUUGUUAAACUACAUAAAUAUGCAAAUUAAAGACUCUUACUACUAAGUUUGUUAGGUUAAGCCUAUUUUUCAAUCCACGAUAAUCUAGCCAGAACUUCACUGACCACCCUGUUUGGGCUCUGUUUGUGAUGAAUGCUGGGUAUCUUUGUUUAGAUGUAUGUCAUUUCUACUAGGUCUUGGAUCAUCUCGGCCUGAAACUUCGCCAAGUCUCUCCUGCAAAGUCAAAUGCAGUAACUCAUGGCAAACAAGUAUCUAAAAGCACAUACAGGUAAAAGAGAAGUAGCAAUUUCAACUAACUUCCACAAUUAGAAGGUAAUAAAUAAAGUGUGCCAAAUACUGUAAUUAGCAUCAAACCAUGACACAGUCAACACUCCACACCAUGUAAAUAUAACAGGCUGGUUGGUUCUGCAACUAGGAACAUUAUUCCUUUGACCUCACCCGCUCUCAGUUUCUUCGUUGUGCUAUUAGUAAUUGGGUGACAAUUAUUGAAUUCGUCUUUCUGUUUCUCUUCAUUUGAGAGAAUUAAAGAAAGGAAAUGAGAAAAUACCUUAAGAGAAGCAUUCUGAGAAGCAAGUUGGUCAUGCUCACUCCUUAGACGACUCAGUUCUGCUCUAAGAGAGGCAUUUUCUUCCUUUAGAACUUCAGCACGCUGUGCUAGUUCAUCGCACUCUGCCUGGUCCCGAAAGGCAAAGUGGAGUCAAGGGUCAAUCCAGAUAGACAAAAAGAAAAAUUGGAAUUAUCUGUACCUGCUUCCGUAGCCUAGACCUACGUGCAGAUUCCCUGUUGGACUGCUUUCUUCUCUGCCUCUUGAGCUCCCUUUCAUCCUAUAAUCAUGGUGAGAAAUAUGGACUAAAUUACAAACAAAAAGGAAAACCUAAGGAGACACAUCUGCAGUUAGAAACGGCAGAAAAGGACAUCCAAGGAGCAUGCAUUAAGGAUGUUCCACCCUGAGUCACUACCCAGGCAAAAUAUCCGUGGCAUUUACAAAAUCUCUAUGUCUGAACAUAUUAAAUGAGUUCUACCAAUAAUCCUAUGGGGCUAUGACGGGCCAUAUUGUACACUAUUUAUGUUCCUCCCAUAUAACUAAAGUACAUGCUCUUAAAGUGGGUGUUUAGCAUGAAGAUGAACAUUAUGAGCACCUGCAUAUAUUCAUAUCUAGAACCAGAGUCUUGUUUUAUAAUGCAAAAUGCAAAUACAGAAUUAAUCCACCACAUGCUAAGUUAAAGUUGGAAAAGAGGGAGAAUGUUAAGAAGAGAUAAAGGGACACCUGAAUCCACAUUUGUGAUUGGACAAUAUCCCUUGAUCCAGCAUUAACUAUUCCUCCAGCAACUGAAGCAGACGGUACCUUCCCAUGGAUUGCAGGAAUAUUCGGCGAAGCAGCGGCAUUCCAGUAGUCCAUACCAAUAUUCAAGUUGGUUGUGGGGCCAGGAAUACCGCCAGCACCCACAGCUGACAUUGGCAUGAUUGCCAUAGUUUGGUUGACCAGUGAAUGAGGAGCACUAGUUCCUCCAUUCUGAGAACUAUGAGCAGAAUUGCCAUUUUGAGAUGCUUCUUCAGCUGUUGAAGAGAUGUCAUACUUCUCAUCAAAUAAUGCAUUUCAAAACUUAUCAUAAAACGUUUAAAGCAAAGUCAUACCACCAGACCUGAAUCUUGCCUUCCUGCUGACUUCAUUGGUGACUCCUACACAAAAUAAACAAGAAAAAUCAAUGAUGGUACCAACUAAGUAGUAAAUUGGACAAUACUGUUUGCAUGCAUACAGACUACAAUGGUAAUGAACAGACCAAAAAUCUAUGCUCAAAAGACUGAAAUUGAUGCAUUGAGAUGGAAAGCCUAUUUAAUAGCAUGCCUAAACAAGAUUUUAAGUAACAGUAAUCCACCAUAAAAGCUGCCAAGGAUGGAAUGACAUAAAUCAAAAUAUCAACCAUACGGUACCCACAUUUUGAGAAUUUGCAUCACUUCCUUCGCUUGAGCCUUCACUUCCACUCUCGGCACUGCAAGCCCAAAAUUGGUAAAUUGAAGGUCAAACUUCUCAAUAACUGACAGUACUUUCAUUUUAACUUUAACGACCAACAGAAUCAUGCAGAAAAUGCAAAAACAAAUAGCCAUCUCUUCCUACAUUGUGAAGUGACCGCACAUUAUUGACUUUCUAAUUAUGCCAGGAUUGAGUUGGCAAUGCUAGGAAAAGCCCUGGACUGUUGUCAAGUUACACAGAAGAGGAUCAAUAGAUCAAAAAAGAUGGAGCGAACUACCACAUUGCAUAUGGUGCACUAUACGGAGGUGGAAGAAUUCAAGAUGUUUUGAAUAUAAGGGCAAUCAAUCAAGAAAUAAAAUAGAAUUGUCAUCGUAUUGUUCCUUUUUUUAAUACAAGGUAAAUAAUUUGUUACCAAUUUGUGAAACCCCGUAUACAAGAAAUAUACCAAAAGAAAGAGAACCUACACCGAAAUAUGGUUUCUCAAUUAAAGAGAUAUCUCCUAUACAAAUAGGGACCUCAUGAGACACCAAAAGAAAACUACAAACAAAAAACUACUUUUCAAUUUUACAAAAUCUUAUUCGACCCCUUUAAAUGUUCUCAUAUUUCUCCCUUUUCAAAUAACUCACAUAAUUGCUAAGGGGGCAGCACUCCAUGCCCUUGGACUUCUCUUCCCCCUCCUCUUGAGUCCCAAUUUCGCAAUGCCCAUUGACUUUGCCCAGCAUCACAUUGCAUCCCAAGAAAAUUAAAGGCCAUCCUCCAUAAUUGAUUAGUCAUUACAAUGCAAAAAACAAGAUGAUGUACAUCUUCACCCAAAUUGUUGCACAUGAAACACCAAAAUAGGCGAUUCUCCUCUAUUUCAAUUUUUUUUUGUUAUCAAAAGCACACUCCUAGUCACCAACCAUGCAAAGAAACAUACCUUUCUCAGUGCACUGUGAUUCAAACAGAACCAUGAGGGGAAGUAUGUUCCUCUCUCACUAUAACCUCUUGUAAUAGGAUUUGGCAGUGAAAGUCUAUUUACACUUCCCCGCCAACUCCAUACAUCCGAUGUAUUGUUUAGUGUGUCCAGCAAUACAAUAUCACGAUGAAAUUCAUCCAUCUCCCAAUCUUAUAUAAUAUCUCCGUGAAAUUAUUCCAUCACCCAAUCCUAUACGUUCCUUCAGAAUCUUAAAUCCCACCCACUAGUGAGACUUACAAAAUUUCUUUGAUUAGCAUCUUUCUUUGGCAAGACAUUAUAUAUAUGCUGAGGAAUUCCUCAAUCCGUUCUCCCAGCACCAUUUAAGCACCAAAAAACUAAUCUUGUUUCCAUCCCUAUGUAGUAUAGAAAGGGUGCUAUUGAUCAUACUUCCCUUCACCCUUUUGACGAGUACCUGACCCUGCUAGUCAUUUCGUUACUCUCUCUAUAACUGAUUCCACUCUGCAAAAUCUUUGCUUGACCCACCCAAUGUAAACUCCAGAUAGGUAGUAGAUACAGUACUCACCUUGCAAUUCAGCACCUGCGCGGUUUCUUUGGUGUUAUCCACUGAUCCCACUGGUGUAAUCUCACAUCAUUUAAGAUUGAUUUUAAGGCCUAACACAACCUGGAACAGAUAAAAAUCUGUCUCAAGUGAUCUAGCUAGGACAUCUCUGCAUCAGAAAAGACCAAUGUUUCAUUCGCAAAUAAGAGGUGCAACAGUCACAUUACUAUACCCAUUAAAAGAAGCAUCAAAACCCUUUUAGACCUCCAAAUGACUGUCCUAUACAUCAUUUUGCUUGAAACUUUCAUCAACAAGAAAGAGAACCUGGCAUUAAAAAUGCAAAACUUAAUCCAUCUCAUCUGCUAGUCACAAAAAUCCAUCUCAAAGCUAUCAUUAUGUUGUUCCAUUUCUGGUGCAAACAGGAAUAUAUAGAUGACACAGAGUCUCUGUUGAAAGUACUAGAGUCUCUGUGAGGAAGAAGAUAGUUUGCUAGUUUCAAUAUACAACAAAUAUGGCCAGCACAACCUUUUGCACUUUUGAAGUUAACCGUUGCUCCAAGAUUCCCCUUCCAAAGAAAAAAAAGAGUAUAUGACAUUAUUACAUUCUUUUGGUAGUAAAUUCCCAGCCUGGCUAAGUUUAUGACAGGAUAGUUUUUUUUUUGGAACCGGUAACCAUACUCUAUAUAUCCACAGGAAUACUACAACUAAACAUUGAAGUUCCCCUUCAAAAGUAUUACAAUCUAUCAAAAGCUCAAAACUAAAUCUGUUGCCUACAAACAAUUUAGAACAUCAAAGAUGUCUUCUAUUUGAGCUAAUAAAUUAUGUCUACCCCAAAAGUAAAAUAGAGCUAGACACUUCAUACAUCCUGAAGCAUGUCCUGUACAUUACCAAAACUCCUAUUGUUUUUCCCUUUCCGGAUUGACCUCCAAAUGCAUGUUGGGACAAUCUUCCAUCUCUCCUCAUUCGUAACACUUCCAUCCCUGUUCCAGCUAACAAGUACUCCUCUAAUACAUCCUGGUUUCACCCACGUGAUCCCCUCCAGGCUAGUGAACAUUCUCCGUAGUUUUUCUGUCCAUUUACAAUGUCAGAAGAGAUGGUUGACUGUCUCAGCUUGCACCCACGCAGAUAACACCUAGAGGCCAACAGAUAACCUCUCUUGUUCAGGUUCUCAUGUGUUAGAACAACUUCUUUAGCCAGGAGCCAAGUAAAGCAGUUCAUUUCAAAAGGCACCUUUGAAUUCCAUAUCAUCUUCCAUGGCCAAUCUUUUUCAAGUCCCAUGUCCUGUUAAGGGCUUUAUAAGCAGACUGGAUUGAGAAGUCACUUUUGCUAGCCUCCUUCCGUAAUAACGCAUCAAUUUCCUCAGCAAGACAUGUGUGAACUCCUAAUUAGCUGAGCAGUUCUGUCACAUUUUCAAUCUCCCAGUCAUUUAGUUGUCAUCUUAGCCCUAGGUUCCAACCCUGUUCAGUCCACAUAUUAGCUAUAGUUGCAUGUUGCCAUUGGCAUAGUGUAAAUAAAAACAGGGUGUGCUUGUCUCAAAACUAUUGUCCCAUUCCACUUGCCUUCCCAGAAGGAGGUCUUCCUACCAUUUCCCACUUCCACUCUUGUUCUUGCUUGUAUCAAUGGCCAUAGAAUCCUGGUGGCUCUUCAUACAUUGCAAUUAUAUGGAGUAGUUACUUGUGUAGUAGUGUUGUCAUCCACUUGUCCUCCAUCCCAUAUUUAGCAGUAAUCACAUCCUUCUAUAGCAUGCCAUCUUCAUUUGCAAAUUUCCAUAACCAUUUCAACAUCAAGCUUUCAUUUUGUUUCUUCAAGUUCUUGAUACUCAGACCCCAGUUUCCUUGCUCACUAUUAAUUCCUCCCACUUGACUAAGUGAAACUUUCUCGUCUUUACUACCUUGCCAUAGGAAUUGCCUGCUGAGAGCAUCAAUACAUUUGAACACACUAGCUGGCAUAGGAAAGACACACGUCAUAUAGGAGGGAAAAGCAUUAAGUAUAUUAACUAGUGUCAGACUUGCCUCCUAAUGACAAGUAUUGACAUUUCCAAUUGGUAAGCCUCUUCUCACACUUCUCUAAUACUCCAUUCCAGAUCCCUUAUAUUUUGCUUUUGGCACCCAAAGACAUGUCUAGAUAAGUAGUUCGAAGAUCACCAGCCUUUCCACCUAAUGUAUUAGCUAGGCCUUCAAUUGCAUUCACUGUGUUGAUAGGGUAGACAAAACUCUUCCCCCAAAAAAUAUGCAACCCUGACACCGCUUCAAAUAUCACAAAGAUUACCCUCAACAUCCUGAUUUGGUCGUGUACAGCCCCAAAAAAUACUAAGGUGUCAUCAGCAUAUUGGAGGUGUGUGAUCUCCAUAUUGUUUAAGUCACCUGCUUGGAGCCACUGAUUCAGUUCUUCUCUUUUGUUGUGUUAAUACGUUGGUCAUACCUUCCAUACGAAUAAUGAAGAGAAAUGGAGAUAGAGGAUCUCCCUGCCUGAGGCCAAUGUUAUCAAACACGAAAAGCACAAAAAAUAAGGUCUAUGGGGGCUCUAAGAGCAAAGCGCAAAUAAAGUGUGGACUUUAAUGAAAAAAAGCGCAAAGAAAGAGAAGACCACAAAUAUAUAUGUUUAGUCCAAGACUAAUAAUUAUAAACAUGAAUGAUAAAUAUGUGACCAAAGAAAUUGAAAAAAAUUUAUGAGAACGUGAAAUAUCAAUUAUUUAGUUUCACUUCUUCAUAAGAGGCUCAUUGGCAAGGAAAUAUUUGCCUUAGAACCUUAAUGACGACACUAAAGCACACAUAAGGAGAGGCAAAGCGCUCAACACGUUUUGAGCCUCGCUUCAGCACUUAAGUGCACCUUGAUAACACUGCCUGAGGCCUCUUUGAGAGGGAAAAAAAGACAUUGGAAGCUCUAUGAAUGGAGUCCCAAUAAACCCUACUUCCAAGUUUUAACUAAAUAUUUUUUAUGACAUAAAUUAUCCAAAAACGCAUCUAGUCAAAUAAUAACACAAAAGCAGCUAGAAAAAUAAAUGAAUAAUUAAAGGGAGCAUGAAGGCUUUGGUCCAAUAGAAAGAGUGCAGCACGUGAUGCGUACAAUAUGCAUUUGUCACAAGUUUGAACCCUGCUAUAGACGAAGUCUGAUACUUAUGGAGAAAGGUGGAGGUCCGAGGCCAUUAUUUGUUGAGUUCCGAACUAUGCGCCAAAUAACCCAAGCAGAUCUUUUGGUAAUAAAUAGAGACAAAAAACAAAAAAAAUUAAACCGAGCAUGAACUGGAGACAUGAUGAUGGAACAACCUCAAACCAUUUCAACAAAGCAUGCAUUCUUGAAUCUUGAUAGAGCGGAUGAGACCAAUUACUAACUAAGGUGCAUACUUUAUUCAUCUAGUAACCAUCUCAGUCAAGCUACUUAUUUUUAGCAGAAAGAUAUAAUCAAGGCAACUUGCAUGAAAUGCUCAAGAAGUGCAAACCAAUUCAAAUACAACCUAUCCUCCAUGUUUAUACAUGUUCUUCAGUCUGAACGACUUUCAUAUCAGAGGAAUAUUUAAGUACAUUCUAAUUAAGUUCAGGGGUAAUGCCCCCAAGGCCUAGAUCGAGUGGCAAAAGGUGGAGGAUUUAUGGCUUAGGUCGCAGGUUCAAGCUCCACAUGCAAAGCGAAGCGUGGUAUUUAAGUGAAGGGUAGAGGGACGGACCCAUUAUCCACCGAGUUUAGAAAGCUGUGGUUGAUCCAAAGGGCAGGUCACAGACGAAUUUCUCGGUUAUUAAAACAAAAAGUUCAAGGGUAAUGAAGAAGAUGAGAAAAGCUAAAGGAUGAGGAGACUGGUGUUAGUCCUCAUCUUCGUGUGAUACAUUCGAAUGAUUUAUUUAGUCGAGUAUCUUCAUACCUUUUAGAGUAGACUCCGUUUGCAGAUGCUCCAGACGUUUUACCAAGCUCGGUGUUCUUGCCUGUAAUCAUAUUCAAACUACCCAAGCUUCCUUUAGAUCUUUUAAUGGGCAAUUUCUCCUUUACCUCAGAUGAUUUACCAUCUAACUCAGUAUUGCUAGAGGUGUUAACCUACAAAAUUCAUAAAUCAGAAGCAGCAUGAAAAAUUAGAAAUUUAAACCAUUGAUAUCAUUGUAUAAAUUCAGUGAACAUAUCUAGCUUUGGACUUACUGCAACUUCAGCAACGCCGUUUGGAGAAGGCAUCGCAAAGGGGCUGAAGGGGUAUGAUCCCUGAUUAAUAAGGAAAAUAUUGCAUGUAAGCAAAAUAAAAUGCGAGCAAUGUGUAGCAAACUGAAAAAUACUAGGAAAGAACAAGAUACCGGAGGAAUAGAUGGAUGAGCAUAUAUUCCACCAUGGGGAUACAUAGUGACAUAAGGAUGUGGUGGAGUACCAUAGGGUGGCAUAAGAUGCUGAAAAGGGGGAAAACAUAAAAUUGGUGAUUGCAAGCACUUUUACAUUGACUAUCACAGAGUAAUACCACAUAUAUACAUCAUUAUCAUAACAUUGAACUCAAUACGGCAUUAUGAACCCCAAGCAGAUGAUCCUAAAAUAUCCAACAAACAUGCUUAUUUAGGAAGAUGUGAUGACUGAACUCCCUCAUGCACAGCCAGCAGAUCUAACUUUUGAAGGAAACACUAAACAUACCGUGAUUCAUAAUUCCAUCAUACCUGAACUCCCCACAUGUAAGGGUGUGCUUGAGGACUUGAAGCCAUGAACCCAUGUGGAGGCAUCGGUGAAUAUCCCUGCAUGAAAAUAAUCCAUGUCCUUUGACUAUCAGCAAUUAAAUUCAACAGAUGAAGUAAAAGACAGAGCGACAAUGCUACAGAGAAACUCAACCUGAAAUCCGGGCCACUCUGGAUUUGCUGUACCAGUAGCAGUAGAUGAAGCUUGCUCCUAAAUGAUGCAAAAUAGAAAAAUGAUGCUAUGGAUUUAGGAUAGCUCACAUGUUAUAUAAAUAACUUUGGUUAUUAAAAGAGAAAAAGGAAGAUGAUAGUUACCUGUGAAUUGGGAGUCUUCGUCUCCUUUGACUCCUUUGCCUCCUUAGAGGAUUUGUCAAUAUCACUGCUCCCCAUGGCUAAACUGCACCACUACCUCAAACACUCCUCAAACCAUCCUGUCAUGCAAAAUAAGAACACAUAAAUGAAGUUCUUCAUAAAAAUCAGCUGAAGUUCUCUUUUUCAACACGCACACAAAUCCAAGGCAUGAAUUUACAUAUGACUGAAAGAAAAACACAGAUUUGACAAAAAAUUUAUUUUUUUUCAACAUACCCAAAUCCAAGUCAUGAGUUUACAUGUCUCAAAGUAAAACACAAAUUAGACCAAAAUUUUAUUAUUUAUCAACACACACAAAUCAAAUGCAUGAAUCUACAUGUGUCUCAAAGUAAAGCACAAAUUAGACCAAAAUUUUCAUCUUUUUGAACAAACAAAUCCAAGUCAUAAAUUUAGAUGUUUCUCAGAGUAAAGCACAAACUAGACCAAAUCCAAGUCAUGAAUUACAUAUUUCUGAAAAUAAAACACAAAAUACAACAAAACUACUACAAACUAACACAUAAGCAAAGACCGACACAACCUCUACCAAAUUUGCAAGACCAUUACUCGUUCAUACCAAGUGUCCAUUCACACAGAUUUGCUAUUUGACUAGCUGUAAUCUCCAAAAUCCGAACUGAAAAAUCGAAAACUGUCCACAGAAAACCAUAAAAGCUCAAAGUCCACGUCUAGUUAAUGCAAACAAGAAAAACGAUUAAACCCCCCCCCCCCCCACACACACACACAAAAAAGACCUCUAAAAAAAAGUAGCGUGUAGCUCGGUUGCUGAGCUGCCCACACCCUCACCCUAGUGGGGGGAGGGGGUCCACCACAUCCCCUCCCCCGCCCACCAACCCCCAAAAGAGACCUUUAAACAUGCAAAGCUUCGUAAAAUCAAUUACCGGGAAGAUAAACAGAGACACCAGUGAAUCUGAAAAUUUGGGUCUGCUUCAGCUGUAGUACAACUCCGAAAAGGACUGGUUUUAACUUGAACAGCGAACCCAACAAUAAUCAAAAGAAGUGAAAUUGAGGGAAAAUUCUGGAAAAAAAAUGGAAGAUUAAGAGAGAGAAAUGUGGGAGAAUUUUUAGAGAGAGAAAGUUAGGGCUUUGUUUUGGGGGAAAAUUGGCAAGACGGAGCGUCACUGUCCCGUCGAUUUGCGGAGGAGUUGUAGUUUCGAUCCAUCGUUGAAUUGGUUGGUGACGUGGCGCAAUUGACCGUGAGGUGGACUUAUUUCAACGGCUCAGAUUCGUUUCUGUAUUAUUAUUAUUAUUUAUUUUCAGAAGAAAAAAAAAUUGUACAAUGUUUAUUUGGACAACAAGAUCAAAACAAACUAAACGUGGAAAAGGGGUCAGGUUGGCUAUUUAGUCUUCGGUUUUUUGUUUGAUUUUAUCAUAUUUUAGUCGAUCUUUUGGAUUUUAAUUUUGAUUCUCUUCAAUCUUUUUAACUCAACUCAAUUUGAUUCAGUGUUUUCAAAAUGAUUUUCUGAUGCGAAUGAAAAAAAUAUAAUGAGAAUCAAAUCAAAAUAUAAAACACUUAAAAAUUAAAAACAUGUCAAGUGAUUAUGUGUGUCACCAUGGAACACUUAUUGUGCAGAAAAGACCAUAUUUAGAACAUUAUUUCUCAUACUAUAUUGCUCGAGAAAAACAAGGACGAAGAUAUGUUCUUUUACAUGACGUACAUCGACAAAAAGACAUACAAAUUCCUCUUGAAAAUUAAUAUUUGGAGUUAGCUAUCUGGAUUGAAAAUAUGUUGCUAAUAAAAUAUUUAUGGAUGAUCUAAAUGCUACGUGACUUUUCAUAUUUGAUUAAAGAAAUGCCCUUAUAAUUUCUAUUUAGUUUGCAUUUGGCCACGAAGAUAAGAAAAUCAAGAUUUUUUUUCUCUCUCAAAUACAAACAAAUGAUUUUCUUUUUCUACUAUUACAUUGAUUUAAUUUAAUUAUAAUAUAAGGGACUGAUUUACAUGAAAGCAAAAAUAAGUGUAUUGUUAUGUAAUUUUAAGAACCCCAUGCCCCAUAUAAGUAAAAUUCCCACAAAUUUGCUUUGGCUUUUGCAAUAGAAAUAAACAAUUACUACUUAGAGGAAUUUAGAUGUUUUUAGGUCCCAAAGAUUUGGGAGUUCUUGUUGCCCGCCAACAUCCUCUUGGCUUAGCUCAUUCUAAUUCUCUCCCACAACAGGUACUGCUUUUUUUCAGAUUGGAAAUUGAGCUCGUAAGUAAAAACAUAUACUUUCUUGAAAAGUUGUGAUUUUUAACUCGACCCCAUGUGCCUAUUGUUGUUUCUUGAAAAAUUCCCCUGACCCUAGUGAAAAAUUGUGAUUUUAUGUGUUUAUUUAUGUGGGUAUAGACUAUAGAGUAAUCGUCUUGUUCUAGUUUAUGUACGGUAGGUCUGUUAAUUUGAUGCUUUUGGCAACUGGGCAUCUGUUAAUUCAUUGUUUGCUUCAGUUUGGUUGAUGGUGGGAAGUGUAUUUUUUUAUUUUGUUUUUGUGAAAGAAAAAAAGAUGCAAUCUUUAGUUUAUGACCAAGAAAAAGAAGUUUAUUUAUUUAUUUAUUUAUUUUUUGGCUCUGUGUAUACUUCUCUACAGAUAUCAGUAUUGGAGGGUGAAUCCUAUACAAGCCAGCACUGAAAAUGGUUUCUGAAUUAAUAAAUGCCAACCCCGUUGUGUAUAAAAAGAAGGAGCGGCGAGAUAGAGGUGCCAGAACUGUUCUGGAUGAAUAUGCAGCUGAACCUAUCGACCAGCUAGAAAUUUUUGAUAUCCUUCUGAGUGGGUGCAUCCGAUGGUUGUUGUGUUAAUGAUGAUUGAAAUUGGAUGUUGUUCUUAAUUUGUUAUGCCAGGCUUGAAAUUAAUCUUUAUAUGUUAAGGGAAUAUCUAUGAGGCUAGAACUCAUCUACUUCAGAAUAUGCGGUAGUAAGUUCAAUCAUUCAUAUUCAAAGGGCACUACAUAUUACUCAUACAACCAGCAUGCUAAGUUUCUGUGUAGCAUUAACAUAUUACACUGCAAAAUACCUAGAGGAGGUGUUUAAAUUUGCAAACUAGAGUUGAUUCCUUAUUCCCUUAUACUAGUUGUUUGUGAUAUUUAUUGUUGUGCCAUGUAGUUCAAUGUGAAAGAUGAAGUGAAAAAUCCUUUUGUACCUUGGUGCACAAAAUAGGUUUAUGAGCGUUCCUUUUUCUUUUUUGAUGAAGGCUUAUAAACUUAAGCUUUCUCUUUUCUGGUAUGAUAAGAUUGAUUAAUAUUUUGUCACUCUAUUUUUUUGGCUAAAUCCCAGAGAAUGAAGUUGGCAUAUUGAGUGUCUGAUUACUUUGCAAAAAGAGGGGACAUAUAGUGGGAUAAGUGUACAUGUCAGUCACGAAGCUCCAUUUCUGUAGAAACAUGAUGAUAGCUAUCUUUAUUUUGAUUUUUCUGAAAGCCUUUCACUAAAGAGGUUGACAUAUGAUUUUCUUGUCCUUAUUUUGCUUUUUCCUGGAUUUGUGUGUGGGGUGGGUGAGGGUGGGAUGGGAUGAGGAGGGCAUGCAUUAUUGGCCCCUCCAAUAUUUGUUUUACAUUAUUGGAAUCGAAGUACACAUUGUUUUGCUAUUCCUAGAAAAAGGUAGAAUAUAUUAGGAACAGAUAUCAUGAAAAGUGUUAGGAUCAUGCUGCCUUCAGUUCUGAUUUGAGGUGAUACCGUCCAAUCAGUGACCAACUAUUUUUGUAUACUUCCUAUUCAAUUAAAACAUGGAUCAGUCUAAUCAAUUCCGUACACAUAAUUUCAAUCUUCACAUUACCCUGCGUGAUGAACCUUUACAUAGUUUCAUACUUUUUCUUGCUUCAGAAAUGCCAGUGUUAUUCAGUACCUUUGAUUUGUAUUUUAUAGGGUUCCUUCCAACUAUUUUCCAGCCUGUUUGUUCAUUGUAUCAUUUCGUAGAGAACUAAGCAAGUAUUAAGUUUGAUCAUAGUAAUGAAAAUUUAAUCAUUCCUUAACAUUCUUACACCAUAUUAGAGAUAUAAAAGAUCCAGAGCAUCCCUAUUCUCUGGAAGAGCUGAAAGUUAUAACAGAAGAUGCGAUUGACAUAGAUGACCAGCGAAGCUAUGUAAGGUGAGAAAAUGAAUCCGCUUCGUAUGUUUCUAUUUUGAUUCCUCAUAGGUGGCAUUUUCGCGUUGUCUAAGGAGAGGAAGUUUUUGAUUCAGGGUCACAUUCACGCCUACCGUGGAACAUUGCAGCAUGGCGACUGUUAUUGGAUUAUGCUUGCGUGUGAAGCUUAUGCGAAGUUUGCCUUCCCGUUAUAAGGUAUGCUUUAUCACCCUCCUGUUUUGAUUCAACAGACUCGUAAUGUUACACAUCUUAUCCUGUAAAAAUGAUAUUACAAUUGAUAGAGGGUGCCUGCUGGGAAGUCCUCGUGUUGCACCCCUUUUUCAGCUUUUAAAAAAAAAGAUAUUACAAUUGAUAGAAUGUUAUGCUAAAAAUUGAUGUGAUAUUAUGACAUUAUUAUAGAAGUUUAUAAUUCCCAAAAGCCAUGGAAAAGAGGUUAUACCUGUCGAGCUUGGCGAAGCAUUGAUGUCACGGCUGCUAUAUAUGUGUGUUUUCUUAGAACUAUUAAAGACUUCAACCUAAAAGAUUUUUCCUCGGCACCAGUUGAGUGAAUCUUCAGGCACAUAUCCUACACUCGGGAUUUCAUUUUCAAAAUCUUGAGCAAUUUGCAAAUGUGGUUACCUUUUCGCUGAACCUGUUAUUACUGAGCAUGGGUCGAUUCUAUUCAACAUGACAAGUGUCAUCAUUAGCUUAUAUCUGACUUUAAUUUGGUCCUUCCGCACCACCACUAAAAGAAUUAAUUCAACCAAGCGGUUACUUUAAUUCCGGUACGUUGAGUAUAUAAACGGAUAGGUUUUCUUUCACAGCCUAAAUGAUACAGAGUAAAGGAAAACAUACACACACACACACCGUCUUCUGGUUCUUGGCUUCUUACUACUCUUAACUUAAACAUCCCUCAGCUGUGUGGCAUUUUGUAGCUUCGCUGUAGCUGCCUGGUGAGAUCAUAAUCAAAUCAUUUUAUCAGAAAUAGUUGAGAAACUUUGAGCCGCGUUGUGCUGGUUUUCAAAAUCACAGUUGACUUUGUAUUCUGGAUUCUUCUAUCCCCAAUCUCUUCCAAGUUCUUAUGAGUAGUUGAUGACAACUGCACUUAGUUCUGGUUUAUCUCCAUUGUUGUUAGGCCAUAUAUGUUUCUUUCUAGAUGCUCUAAUGAUAUUCGAUCUUAUCACCUGUGGAUGUGUUUUUUUUUUUCAAUUGAGAGGGAUGUGGAAAAAGUAAAAGCCAUAGGGAAACAUGUUGAGAUGGAAUCUGAUAAUAUAGAGUCUGACUUUUGGUGUAAAUCAUAGUUUUAGGUGUAAUGUGUUAUAUAAAGGUAACUUGGAAAAAUGACAGAAGUACUUGAAUCAGUGAAUUUGUGUCAUGUCUUUGUUUAUCAUGAUCUUCUCAAAAAAAGUGCUAGUUUAGGAAGACUAACUCCUUUGCAUAUUGCAGCGAACAGUGUUGUUUAAUCCUUACUUUGGUCAAGCAAAUCAUAACCACUUAGAAGUGUUUGUUAAAAUGUUUUCAUUUACAAUUACACCUCUCACAGAAAAUGUGGUUUUCAAAGUAUGUAACCACUUUCUAGCGUUGAUAAAAGCAGUCCAACUGUUUGUAACAAGUUUUAUAUAAUUAUUGUCUCAAAACUUUAAUUUCAAACCACCAAGUGGUCGCAGUUUUUGACAAAUUUUGAUUCACCAUGCUACUUUUAUGAAUGGUGGUGUUUUGGCCAGCUUGCGAGCACAUCAACUAAUCUUUUCUUCUUGUGCCUAGACAUUCGUACACCCAAAAAUGUUUUUAGCCAUUCUAUUUGGUUGUAGCUUCUCCCAGCACUCUAUUUAUGUUGAUAUAUUAAUGAAAAUUGCACUUUACCAAUCAAAAGAAGAAAAAAAAACUUUAGCCAUUCUAAGGAAAUUUUCAGAUUUCUAGUUAGUGAAAAGAACAGACGUUUUAAGACUAUAUUAGUUAUAUUCUUUUUUAUUUUUUAACAGUUCUCCUGGUAUGAAUAUUCACAUUUUGCUUCCUAUAGUUUGGGAUUAACAUGGAAGCCUAACCUUUAACUCAUUAGCCAAUCGAAAACUAGUUAACUAGUAUUGAAAUAUUGAACUCUGAAGUUCUAAAUUUGAGUUGCUAUGUUCCUGCCUCCCAUUUAUUAAACGAGCAUUUUGAGUUUGAUCAGUAUAUUACAAAAAUUCUUCUCCAUUGCAUAACUUUGGUUUAAUAUUUAGAUUCUUCAAACCAAUGCCAGUUCUAAAUGAUGCAUUUUACCAAAAGAUUAUGAAAUAUUAAGAAAGUACGACCUGAGUUUGAGCCCACUCUUUCAGACUAACAUAUAAGCUAAAAGCUUCUAAAAACGUGUAGUUUCUACAUAGACAUCAUAGGCUAGACAUUCUUAGGCUUAAUAAUCAGUAAAAUGUUUGUUUUCUUCUUAUAAUUCCGUAGUCUGGUUAGAGACUUGUAUGUAAAUGUAGAGGUUAACGUGAUAAUGUGUGUUUAGAGAAUCUUUAGUUUAGAAAACUUUCCAAUUAUUUCUUAAAAGACAAAUUAUUUAGUAUUGGAAUAAAUGAAUCUGCGGUAGAUAAAUGUGAUAAAUGUGUGACUUAGAGCAUCUUUAGUUUUAGACAAAUCCCAGUUUUUUUAAGAGAAAUCCCAGUUUUCUGUGCAAUACAGAUUAUUUAGUUUCAGAAUAAAUGCAGCUUAAUGCUGAUAGAGGUGAAUAAAUAUAGGUGAUUCAUGUAGAUGAUCUCAGCUAGUAUGAGAUUGUUGCUUAGUUGGUUGAGCAAGAGUGUAGACCAUAGUAGGCUGCUUAUAUGUUCUAUCUUGGAGUUUUAUACCCUUUUGUACCAUCUUGAUACCCUUAUAUUUUUUCAUCUUAUUAAAAGAAAAGAAUUCCAAUAAUCGUGGAUAGAUUCCAACCCCUUUUGCUCUGUACUUCAGGACAAGUUACAGAUUGUAUUCUCAUUCUCGUUUUUGCUCUACAGUAAAGUCAUCGUGAUAUUUGCAAAGUUCUUCUGUAUAGCAUCUUCCUUUUCCUGAGCGAAGUAGGAUCUUUUUGUCAUCAUAAUUGCCAUGUUUUUCCUGUUCAUAGCAGCUUCUCCUUUUCUUACACAAUGUAGGAUGAACUUUAUUUCAUUUAUACCAGUCUCAAAAUUUGGUGCUGUUUGUCCUGGUAAAUCUUUGAAGGUUUUAGUGGUUUAUUCUGUUGGGCGAGGAACAGCUAAAUGAGCUCAGCAAUCUAGAAAGCAUAGAAUUUAUUUAUCUUCCUUGAAAAGUAAAAAGUUGGGCUUGUAUGGGGUUGUGAUAUAGCUUUUAUGUUGGAAGGUGCAAAAGGAGUCGGGUAGGUUCUUUUGGCUGCCAGAGAUGAGGUCAGUGGACUUGUGAAAUUUUCUUGUGAUUCAACUACUUGUGGGUUGUUCCUGCAUUAUAUGGGUAAACCCGUAUCAGAACUUUAACCCAGUCUGUCUGCAAUUUCAACUAGUUGCGUUCUUAAGUACAAGAAUGAAAUAAUGAUGCAAAGACUUCUGUUCAAAGUCAUUUAUCUUGUUGAACAAUUAUGCAAAUAUUUCAAUAUUGAAGUGUUCUGUUGGUAGCUUCCUUAAAUUGUUUGAAAUUGUUUUCCCUGUCCACAAGUAUUCAGUCUGCUUGUUUUCAACAACAUAUCCUUGUUAUCUUGCCAGGUCGAUAUUAGAGUAGCACCGGGGAGUCAUGCUACGGAAACUGCAGGUAUCUAUACAUCUCUUUGUAACUGUCAUACAACAUCCAAUUCUUUACCUGUCACUCUGCUGGACUUUCUUCUAAUUCAACCCACAGAGGCAUGUAUUUCUUACUUCCCUUUUUUGCAUUCACUAAAGUGCGCGUUCCUUUUAACAUACCACACGGUUUUUGCUAUUUUUUCCAUAGAAAAUGUGCACCCUUUUUGUUAAUACAAGUUACUACUAUAACAUAUCCCAGUCGAAAAGAGAUGGAAGGAAAGAAAACCAUACAACCCUUUUGCUUAUUAGUAUAUCAUAAAGCAUUAGCUCUUUUCAAGAGUUGUCCGCGCUUGCUUUAUAUCCAGCAAUUUAUCUGCUUGCAGUAAAUAAGCAGUUGAAUGAUAAAGAACGCGUAGCUGCAGCAUUGGAGAACCCUAACCUCGUUGACAUGGUUGACGAAUGCCUCGCUCCAUCGUAUGCAUGAGGAAGCUUUUGUUUAGGUGUAUGGAGAUCCAACCUGAUUAAAGGCUUUUCCUUGAGCAUUUUAUAUUGCCUGUUGUGACUUGUGAAUGUUUCUUUUAGACCUUUGGGUUCUUGUAAUUCAAUUAUUAAUUUCAUAGUUACAUUUGAGCUAACUUCACUUUCACGCCUCUUAUGAAAACAAUAUUUUCUCCGUGAACUUUUACUUGUCCACUGUUCAUUAUUACUGUCUAGUUUAGAGAAUCAAGAGAUAAUCUAUUAGAGUAUUUUAUUUCUAAUUUACCCUUUAUUAAUAUAAUCAUUUUUCAAAAACUCUUAAUUUAUUAUAUUUUGAUAUAAUAAAACUUUCAUUGUCAUUCUAUUUAUUGUUCCUUAAGGAAUGUGUGAAGUUAAUACUAAAAAGAUAAAAUUAACGGAGGGAACGUUAAUUGAGAGAUAUUACUUUUAACCAUUUUAUCCCGUUAGAGUCUUGAUAUAUUAAUUUUUUUUCAUAAAAUAUUUAUUCUACUGAGGUGUUUAUAGUCUUCAAGAAAAAUUAUUUAAGGAUAAAAUUAAAUAAAUUUUUUUUUGACUUUUUAUAAUGAGAAAAAUAAUUUGAGGUGAUGAUUUUAAACGAAACAAUUGAUUUUAUAAUGAAGCAAAAAAAGUGAGUUCCUAAGUAAGGGUAAAAAUAAAUUGUUAGGAAGUGUUCAAAAUAGGCUACUAUUUUAGGAAGUAACUAAAAUAGAUUUAGUGGAAGAAAAAACUCCACUUUAUUCAAUAUUCUAAACAUUUUUAGCUAUUCUCAUAACAUAUAUAUUUUAAUAUAGAACGGAACUAUUUAUUACACUUUAUAACGUGCAAGUUAUUCUAACAUUUUGUAAAGUGAAACUUUUUCUUACACUUUAUAAAGUGGAAAAAAAAUUAUGUUUUACAAAGAGAAAUAUAGAUUUUACAUAAGUUUCAACCGAUAAAAUAGAACGUUCUUGACAAGUCUUAGGCUCCUUUCUAACAUAAAUUUCAAGUAUUAUUAAAUUGAUUUGAUUUCUUUAAUAAUUUGGAACUUGUACUUGUGAUAAAAAUGAAGUAGGUAUUUUUCGACUAUAAUAAAAUUACAGUUAGUACUAUUUAUACACAUUCUUUUGUAAAUUAAUGAAAGAAAUUUAUGAUAUCGGACAUUAAUUGAAUAUUUAGCAUUGUGUUUGAGAGGACAAUUAUAAUAAGGGUCAAAAAUACCCCUUGACUUUAGUUUAUCAGUUGACUAUACCCCUACCGUUAAAACAAACUUAUAUUUACCCCUGUCGUAACCAAUUUCAUCAUUUGUACCCCUUCAUCAACGAAAAUUCUCAAAUUGACUCAAAUUAACCCAAAUUUUUAAAAAUGACCCAUUUCUCAUUUUGAAUCCAAAGCCGCGACAACUAGUUCAAACAAUCACCACUUUCCUCUCUUCCUCCCACAAAUCGCUACCCAAAUCGUCUCUCCAAUCCUACCUUCCUUACCUCACUCAACUCCGACUCCGACAUUCUUCGUCGGCCUACACAUUGCCACUGGAUAUCACUCGCUGUCAAUGAGAAUUGUUUUUUACUUUAACGUUUUGCCUUUAGUUAUUUUGGUUAAUUUGUUUUUCUUGUUGUUUUUAAGUUGUUUUUGUUUCCAUUUUCUCUUUGCAGAAAUGGUGGAAGUUGAAAGCUAAAUCCCAUUUUGAACUUUUUUUUUAAAAAAAAAGUUGAAAUCUUGUUCUUAUUCUGAAUUUAUAUCAAAGUAAAAAAAUUGAAUCAACAAGCUGAUGAAUUCACAAGAAUAUAUGUUGUUGGAAGUGUGAAGUUCUUAUGGAGUAAAGAUAUAAAAAUAUUUUUUUUAUUCAAGGAGGGAGAAGACGAAGAAAAAUUGAUUUUUGGAUUUAAUUUGUCAUGAGUUCUGUUUUAUGGGUUGGAUUCGAAUUUGGGUCAAAAAACAAAAUCGGGUAAUUUCAAUUGAAAUUGGAUACAUUUGAGUAAAUUUGCAAAUUUCCAUCAAAUUAAAGGGUACAAAUGAUGAAAUAAAUAACGACAGGGGUAAAUAUAACUUUGUUUAAAAAAUAUGGAUAUAGUCAACUGAUAAAUUAAAGUCGAAGAGUAUUUUUAACUCUUUUCCCAAUAAUAAACGAUAUUUCCUUCUAUGUAUAAUUUUAUCAUCCCAAUAAAUCAUAAACUCUAACUUUGGGGGGUAGAAGACAUUUUCUUUUGGAAGAUUUUAAUUAGUAAUAGUUUUGGAUUUAUUUCUUUGUUCCUCAUAAUCACAAUAUCUCUCAUUUAAUUAAUAAUAGUUUUGGAUUUGGAUUCUAACUCUCUAACUAUCUCUUUACUUUAUCGUCUAUUUGCUUGACAUUAUUUUUUGUUAAUUUUAGGAUAAAAAAAGAUUCAAAUUCCCCGCAAGACGCCUUUAUGUUUUAAUUAUUUUAAACUAAAUUGAUCGCGACUUAAAAAAUGAUAACGAAAAAAUUUUGCGAGUUAAAUAAAACACUUAGCUAGUAAAUUAAUUCUUCACUUUCAAACAAACUCUAAAUAAUUUUUUAUCUCAAAAUUAAGUUAAAUAUUUUAGCCAAACAAGUUCGUUGAUAGAUAACCGCAAGUUAGUGGAUAUUUUAGGUGCCGUAAAAACCUUCCUAAAAUAUUAAUAAGAGCGUCCGAACCUCUCUUUAAAGAUUUUUCAAAUGAUACUGUUUAAGUCUGUUUUCUUGAUUUUCCUAAAAUUAAGUGACGACUCUAAACAAGUCUACAAUAACAAUAUAAAAAUAUUUUUCUGUAAAUAAAAACAUAACAAAUUAACUACUAGUGAUAAUAAAUUUAAAUUAAUACUUUUUUUAAUUUUAAUAUUUAAUAUAAGUCAGAAUAAGUAAAAGGUCUAUUUAUAUACUUUACAGAAGAGUUACCAAUGAAAUCAAAUUAAUACAAUUUAAGAAUCAUAUUGGUAUUCAAAUUGCUACAAUUUAGGGAGAAGUUAAAGAAAAUGAUUUAACUAAGACAUCGGGUUUCACACCGGUAUGUUUUUAUAAAAAUAUACAAUUAAGUAUAUAUUCUCAUCUCAAACCUCUCUCCAUAAUCUUCUUCAAAAAGAUUUCAUAACCAUCUUUGUUGUCAUGUUUAUAGAAUCCGAUAAUAAUCGUGUGAUAUGAUUUUAAUUUUUAAUCUCAUUCUUAAAUAUUUGUGUAAUUUUUUUGAUUAAAGCAAAAUCAUAGGUUGAGUGAUCAAUCAACCUUUGAUUUGAUCACACAAAAAUAUUAAGUCUUUAGUUUUUUUCUUUUAUAAAAUAUAAAGUUUUUCAGUUUGACAUAAUAAUAUUAAAAUAUAUACGGUAGAUAAUUUAAGUUAUGAGUAAGAUGUUAUUUAUAAUGUAUCACCUUGGACCUUGUAAAUUUUUUUUUUUGAAUUUAAAGAUUUGAUUAGUUUAAUUUAAUGUUUUAAAAUAUUUAUAUUAUUGAAAACUAACUAAUAAUUCUUUCUCUCUCUCUCUUUUUUUAUAUAAAAUAUCGAGAGAUUUUCCAUUUCAUUUAUUAACUUUAAAAGUGUCUAAUAAAAGUUUUUAAAGAAACCCAUAAGAUUCAUUUUUUCAAAUAUUGUGACCUUAUAAUUGCAAGAAAUAGAAUUUGAGCAAACAACACAAAUUUUAUUAGUUUGGAUCUUAAUUACGUGCGCUCAUAUUAGUUUAGAAAAUUACCUUCCUUAUCACUUUUUCUUCACCAAAUACAUGUAUUUGGCGCAAUCAGAUGAUACAUGCAGGUUAUUAAAUAUAAUUUGUUAUAAAUACAUUGUAUUCAAGCGUGAUUUACAUGCAUCAGAGACGUACUGACUCUCUCGCUAACCUUUCUCCUAUCUCCCUUGCCCCUCUCUUCUUUUGUUCAUCUCUCCGUCUCUCGCUUGCCUCAUAUGUAUUUGUAUUUCAAAUUGUAUCUAGUAUAAAAAAUAUAGGAAAAAGGGUCUGAUAUACCCCUCAACUUUGUCAUUUAGAGCUGAUAUACCCCUUGUUAUGAAAGUGGCUCAUAUAUAUCCCUACUUGUAAACAAAUGACUCACAUAUACCCUUUUUCUCUAACGGAAAUAGAAAAAAACUAAUUUUAAUCUAAAUUUUUAUUAUUUUUUUCUAAAAAAUAUAAUCCCAUAUGAGUAAAUUUAAUCCUCGUCAAACAUAUCUUUUUUGACUUUUUUUUAUUUCAAUGACUUAUUUAUAAUUAUUAUUUUGAUAAUCAAAUUUAUUCAUGUUUCACUAAUAUUCUUGUAAAACUUAUUGUAGAUGACCAAAUUUUUUUUUUUUUCGAAUACGAAAUUAAAUUACAAUACACACAAAAAAAUAGUUUAAAUUUUUUUUCUUUAAACCAAGAAAUGAAAGAAAAAAACAAAAUAAGAAUAAGAAACUUAAAUAAUUAUAAUAAAAGAAGUCAAAAAAUAAUUUAUGUAUGAAAAAAAUUAAAAUAUACCUUGAACUUUGAUAGAAGAAUCAUAUAUACCCCUAAAUAAAUUUUUUUAAAAAAAUUAGAAGUAAUAAAUUUAAAUUUAAAAUUAAUUUUUUAAUUUCCGUUAAAUGAAGGAUAUAUGUGAGCCAUUUUGUAACGGCAGGGAUAUAUGUGAGCCGUUUGUAUAACGAUAAGGGCAUAUAUGAGCCACUUUUAUAACGAGGGAUAUAUCAGUUCCAUAUGACAAAGUUGAAGGGUAUAUCAGACCCUUUUCCCAAAUAUAUAUAUAUAUAUAUAGUAUCAAAGAUACAUGUUGAACUCUCACUUGCUUCUCUACCAUCUUGCUCGCUCGUCUCUCUCCUAUGUCGCUCAUAGUAAUAUACUUAUUCUUUCUGGCAUAACCUUUAUCGCCAGUAACAUCGAGGGCAUAUUUGAUCCCCACCAUUUACCAGAGGAUAAAUUUGUUUCAUUUCACACAGUGAGGAACAAAUUUAUCUGUUCAUAUAUAGCCUUUCAUCAGUCUAUAUAUCAUCUGUUCAUUUAGGCAAAUUAGUCAAGUAAGAACUCAAUGUUCAUUCUACCUGGAAUUAAAAUAGUCCAGUAAGGUAUCUGUAUCAUAACAUGAAACCAUUUUAUCUCCAGUUUCACUCCAUAAAGCAAUUCAUACGUGCUCGUAGAUACGAACUUUCUCCAUCAUCGUACACAAAAAAAAUAUAGUCCACCAAGGUGGUUUACACAGAAAAUUUGACACCUUCAUCAUCAGCUGAUGUUCCCUUAAAUAUUGCAAGCUUUCCUUUAUGUUCCAGCACCUUCAAAGCUCGCAUAAGAACUGUACGGUCUAUUCCAUGAAGCUCUGAAAAAUCAAAAUGCCAAAGACAAAGAAGAACAUAAUAGCAUAAGAUUCCAUAAGUCCAUGAAGGUUGUCAGAGGAUAAAUCGUAGUUAAACCAUGUAAGCGAGUUCAUUACUAAACAUCAAAUACAUACAGAAUAGACAGAUGUUAAACGUAAAAUGUUUGAUCCACUGAUAUUUCUAGUACAUGUUUAUGAUCAAGUAGUUCAAGAUUGAAAUAAGCACAUGAUCAUAUUAGAAAAGGAAAAAUUGAAAGCGUAAACUCUUUUAGUGAAAAUACGCUUCGUGCAUAGUAGGGAAAGUGAACUGCCAAGACCUAAGCUAAUAUAUGCAAAACUAUUUGCAGAAAGAAGAAAAGAAUAACCAAUAUUUUUUUGAAAAAGAGAAAACAAUAUUGGUUAUACUUUGAUCUUCUUUCUUUAAAUAUUUUGCAUAUGUUAGCUUCGGCCUUUAACUAUUAGUGGUAUCUAAUAUCUUGUAGAUUCUAAAACCGAAAUUUUACCUGUUCCACGGGACUCCACCCCAGAACGUAUUUCUUCAACUGUCAUAACACUGUCUUCCAGCCCAUUCUCCUUCACCUAAUCAGACAGAUAAAACUGGCAUAAGGAAUUUGACAAGGCUCGGUAAUGGAGCAGAUUGCCAACACAAAAACAAUGUGACAAGGUUGAAUAUACUCCUGUUCAUCAUUUCAUUCGAAAGAAAACCCGAUACCUGCAUCCAUCCCAAAUAUGGUAAUAUAGCAGUCUUCCAACAGGGAACCUAAUUGCUUAACAUUAAAAUUGCAUUUUUUAUAGGAUGACACCCCAUAAGAAAUUCGACUCAAAUGACCAAACUGAGAGAGAUUUCAGAUAAAUUUAAGAAGAACAAGAAAGCAGGAAAGUGGAAGCUACGCAGAAGAAGGGAAAAGGGGUCACUGAUGACUGAUGAUAAACACGAUCUUGCAGCGCCACCUUUUAUAAUGGAUAACCCAUAGAGAUGAAAAAUGGUUCUAUACUACUCACAAAGUUUACAAUCAAGUCUGCCCAGUCUUGAAUACGAUGCCAUAGAACUAGGCAUUUUCUAUGACCUUUAUCCAUCCAUUCUGCACGACCUGUCAAGUAGAUCAGAGUCAGAGAUCUAUCCUUCUACAGUACAACAGACUCUCAGUAAGGUCCUAUACAUUAUUCACGUGGCAAGAUCACUUACCAUCAGAAACCAAAGCCGAGAGAAAUGCCUCCCUAGCUUCAUGACUCAGAGAUCCUGCACUAUCAAAGAUCAUCUGUAUUCAGUUGUGGCACACAAAUAUUGCCACCAUUCCAGAUUAUAAAAGAUUUUCAUCCAGUCCGAGGCAUGCUAUACCACAUAAAGAGAUAAUCACAUUUUCUUUUAGCUAAAAAAGCAAGGAUUUUGCAUUUUCCUAAUAGAAAUCAACCAGUACCGGCAAGCUUUACCACCUAAUGCUAUUGUGAUUGAAAUUUCUUUUGUCUAUGAACAGACAUGCAUACUUAAUGGCAUAGAAAAACUAAAGGAUCUCUUCAGUAACCUUGUGCUCCAGAGGAAUAAGUAUUACAAGUCACGCCGUUCAACUUUAGAAUCACAUAAAUUUAAACAGUUUGAUCAUUUAUAUGAAUUUCUUACUUCCCUAGGUAACAUUUGCAGAGGAAAAGAAAUUCAUUGGACGCAACGUGCAUGUGGUUUAAAGACAAUUUUUUGUUGCCAGAUAAGCUAACGUGAAUUAUUCCAUGGCAUGCUACUAUAAUAUAAUUUCAUACUAUUUUGGUAAGUGGUAACAUAGCAGAAAUUUUCUCAAUGGAUCUGAAACUUUUAAAACAUUUUACAUUCUAUUGUAAUGAUAUUUACAUUUUGCUCUUUCUCUGUUUUGCAGCUGUUUCUUAUUAAUUUCCCCCUAACCGUCCCACUUCCUUGGAAAUUAGAUGGGUAACCUACCGAUUCACAUGUAAUUAAUCCAUUUUCUUUCCUGGUUGUAGGAUAAUCUUUGUAUCAUUGGUUAUUUUCAACAACAAACUGAGAAAAUCAGCAUGAACAUAUUUUAUGCUCCUUUCAUGCUGGGACUAGAUCAUCUCAGUUCAAAUGUGCAUGCAUGCAUGAGAACAUCUAUUUUGUUUCUGCUUCCUUGCUUAAUGUCACGUGCAUAUUCGUUUUGACAAUCUUGUAAGAAUCCAGAGGGUGAUAGUUACUUCUUCAAAUUUAAAUGAAACUCAUUUCGCUUCGGGACAUCCCAGAAUGUGGACACCAUUUCAUUUCUAUACAAUUUUCAAGACCUUUAAAGAAUUCAAAUUCACAACAUAUGCAUUUUAUAGCUCUGUUAUAUUUUCCCAUAAGAAAUCAUAACUAUUUUAACUCUUACUUCAAUAUUUUCUUCCAUUAUCACUAUUAUAAUGUACACUUUUUGAACAGAUUAUCACUACUAUAAUACAAGUCAAAUUAACAUCUUAAAUUUCACAUGAGCUGGAAUACAGGCGUUACUAUUUUGAGUUCCUCUGGCAUUCAAGAUCACUAGCUGUUGUUGUAAAUUUAACCCACCCUACUGGAUUUUUACCCAAAGCAAUAAUUUGGGGAAUAUAUAUAAAGCAGCUCCUUGGCAGAAAAUCAAAUAUAUAAAACACUAAUAAGAAGAAGCACUCACUUUCAAUAGCAGCAUUACUGAACAAUGGAAAGUCUACCUCCAGCGCAAUUACAAAGAUCUUUUGGGUUCGACAGAAAUCAAUUAUGAGCUCUUUCCAUAGUUGUAUCUGCUUCUCCCUAGUUUCCCUCACAGGCUGCAAACUGGGGAAGUAAAUAAAUUAUCAUAAAACUAGAAACAACUUCCUGUUACAAAUUAAAAGGAAAAAGUGUUUCAUCCGCCCAAUAAAAGACUGGAUGGAGAUGAAUGGAACAGGUACAAGAAGUACUUGGUGAUUACUUGAUAACAUACAUUAGCUUACCAGGAAUGCAUACGGACAACUGCUUCUAGGUACUUUCCAGUUAUAAUAUACACAAUCAGAAAGCAAUCCAAACCAGUGUUACAAAAGACGAGCGCCUCCUCGCCUUUGGCGAGAGGCGAGGCGAUGGGUCCUCGCCAUUCUCUGCCGAGGCGAGGCGAUAGCAAAAUGGCGAGGAGUGGCGAGGUGUGGCGCUACAAUGGCAACAGAAAAGGCGCCGCCUUUUUAAUUAAAAAUAUUUGACUUAACAAUAUUAAUCAAAAUUAGGGUUUUUUUUAAUACUUUUGAAAUUUCUGCUUUCUCCAUCGCGACUCUCGCUCUCGAUUGACUCUCUUCUCGGCUCUCUUCUCCAGUUCUCUUCUCUUCUCCAUCGCUGUCUCUUCUCCCUCGCUCUCUUCUCUUCUCCAUCGCUGUCGGCUUCUCCAUCGCGAGACUCUCUCCAGUUCUUUCUCGCAAAGGAGUAGAAAGUACAUCUACAAGUUCAUCUUCAAGUAGGAAUCGGACACUGAUUGAUGAAGAAUACGAGGAGGAAGAAAAUGAAGAGCAAUAUAAUGAUGUAGAGGAUUUUGAUCUUCAAGAGUUUGAUAAUUUUGAAGAAGAAUAGACUUUUAAAGUUUUGGUUUAUUGUAUUUUGAAUUGUUUGGUCUUUAAAGUUUUAGACAUUUUAGUAUCUACUAUUGGUUUUUGAAUUGAAUAUUUGCUAAUAUGUGUUAUUGCUAUUAAGAUUUUGAAUAAAAUAUGCAAUUAAAUAUUUUUAAUUUUUGGUAUUAAUUGACGCCUUUAUUCAAAAAGGCAAGCGCCUCGCCGCGUGGCGAGGCUGGCCCUUGUCGCCUUUUGUCGCCUCUCGCCGUCCACAACACUGAUCCAAACUAAAUUUCUGCAGGUACAUCUAACUGAUUUUGACAUCCGAAUAAUGAGACUGCCUCCAUGCCCUGAUUAGAACCUUUCUCUAGGAAUCAUUCUAUUUACAUUCUCCUUAUUAGCAAAUACAUCCAUCCAUCAUGUACCCAUAACAAAUUUAGUCCUAAAGCAGGAUGGAUAGACUCAUAUAGCUAAACUCCACUGAUGUGGGAAAUUGGGAUUGAGGCCUAGUUGAUUGAUAGCUACUGCUGUCAAAAUGCAGGUUCACCACAACGUCCAAGAAAAGGUUUUCCAUAUAUUUUGACCAGACAAGUGAAAAUACUAAAUCCAGAAACUGCAAUUUAUAGCCAAGAUUUAAUACAUAUAGAGACAUGGAAAUAAGGGGCAGGAGCAAAUUACGUGAAGUAGGGUGGAUAAUUAAAGAAGUUAGGCAGCUUGAAUUCGCCUAGCUUCUGCAUCUUUCCUGAACUACUUCUUUCUCUGCCUUACACCUGCUCAUUCAAAAGUACUACUUGUAACAAAUAAAUAUAUAAAAGAACAAAGGAAAGAGAAAAACAUCACCAAAAUAAAACCCAAUAUUAGGGGUAGUAAAGUCUGGUUGGGUUUGAUUUGGACAAAGUAAAAAUGAAUUAAAUAGAAAAGGGGUCAUAACCCAACCUGUUCAAAUCUGCACGGGUUGGUUUGUGAAUAAUUCUGGUCCAACCAACAUCUUAAGAAUAAAUUUAUCCAAAAAAACAAGUCUGAAUUCAAAAAACAUAUUUGUUUACUGUGGGCUAUUGCACUUCCUACAAAAAGAUAAGCAUUUGCUUGACAUUGGCAAAAUGGCAUCAAAACGACAAAGAAGGUUCUUUUUCCUGCAUGCUAAUUCAAAAGGAAGUUCAGGUAAUAUAUCGUGAUUUCAAGUCAUCAAAUGUGCUUAUGGGUGAUGACUUCAAGCCAAAAGGCAUAUAUGGCAUGUGUUUAGUACAAUUCUUUCCGUCAAAAAGGGAAAACGAGUUCCUACAUUUGAUCCAAAUCCUAAUCAAUCUAACACCUAGUCAUUGUUAUCAACCUAAACUGGACCACAGAAAGCAUAUAUGACAUGUGUUGAGUACAAUGCUUUCCGCCAAAACGGUAAGAUGAGUUCCUACAUUUAUCCCAACUUCUAAUCAAUCUAACACCUAAUCAUUGUCAUCAACCUUCAAUACCUGAAAGUAUCACCAAUACACACUCCUUGUAGUACCUUGUUGCCUUAUCAUACACCUUUUCUACUAACUGUAUCUGUAUGUCACCUAAAAUACAGGCAAAAGAUAAAUAACAGUUUCCUCUUCCCCAAUACACCUCAAGAAACAGAAAAAGAACAAAACUUCACAUAAAAUUAGCAUCUGGGUGGCUUUAAUAAUGGAAAAAAAGGAAAAUAAAGACAAAGAGUACAUACUCAGCAAGCCAGAAACUCAGAAACCCAAACUUAACUACUGCAAUAAUCCAAAGGUUCUCUUUAGAGAUGAUGAAAGUUAUAAUUACACGAAAUAAAAUCUUUAAUCAAGAAAGAGAAUAUAAUAGAAAUUACCACACGACACCACAGUCGAUGCUCCAAAGUUGCAAUUUCACCCACAAAAAGAGGGGCUAUUUUUCGUCUUUCCUAAUCUGAAGCACCAAAGUUUUCACUUGGACACAACAAUCUGUAAAUUAGGUUAUGAUGAAACUGCAGGAAGAGAAUGAUCUGGUUUAUUUAGAGAGAGAGAGAAAAUUGAGAAGCUUUGAAGAGAAAGUCACGUGCAGAAAGUUUUGCCUCGGUUGAAAAACUCACGGUGGUUAAGGAUGGAGACAGAAAAUGUACCAAAUUUGGAUUAUUAAUGCUCCAAUAGAAAGAAAUAGGACUAUUUUGAGUCAUAACUCAAAGAUAGUGGACCAUUUUAAGCCUUUUAACAAAUGGGGUGUGAAAAAAAAUAACAAAGAAAAGGAAAAAAAUGAAAAUGGAGUGCUACUUCUUCACUUGUCGUCGUCUUCAAUUCGAUUCAAGAUUGUCAAUCACAGUGGCACCACCCCACCCCCACCACGAACCCAACAAAAGUUAGUAUCUUUUUCUCUAUCUUUAUAUGUUGAGUUUAAAAUAUGAAUGAUUACUUGUCAAUCUUGAAAAAUCCCAACUUGAAAUUGUUAAGUGGACUUGGAGCUUUCGACUUUAUUUGAAAAUUUGAAUGGUAAAAGAUUUGCCCUUUUUUCGUUUUCCCACUAUUUGUCUAUUUCCUGAUUUGUGAUCUGGCUCUAUUCUUUGGUGUGGUGGAUGAUUUUGAGUUUAGCUUGUUGUUAUAUUUCUUUGAGGAUUUUAGAGGAACCCAUGUUGAAACAUAUAGUUUAAGAUGCUCUAUAUUCAGUUUAACAAGUUAUUGUAGUGAAAUCAAUGAUCUCCCUUUUCUUUGAUUAUACAUCAUAGUAGUUGGGAUUGAGGUUUUGGCUGCUGUUACAUCUGGUUCUCUGUUUGUUACUCAUGUGACACUGUUUGACUAGGAAUUGGGUUUAAGAAAGAAUGGAUGACUUUUGGAACUUGUGAUCUAGAACAAGCCUUAGAGGCUAUAAAUCAAGUCUCAUUAAGGGUAAAAUUUUAAGAAUUAUACUUAAAUUGUUUCUAAAUAUAUAAAGUAACAUUCUUUUUCGGAUAGUGGAAGUAGUAGUCUUUGUAGUUUGGUUAGAAAUAGGUCGAAAUGGAGAGGAUUGAUGAUUUAGCUGAUCCCAGGCUAGUUUGGGAUCAUAUUUUUAUUUUUGCUUAAUAAGGCAUAUUUGUUUGUUGUUGUAUUAAUUGGAGGGCUUUUUGUUCUUUUAUUACGCUUCAUUUUGUCUCUUUAUAUUUUUCCCAAGAAAAACAAGUACGUUAUCGGGUACUUCGCCCCUGCAGCUUAUCUGUCUUGGAUUGAAGUUUUCAAGCUUUACAAAGUGAGAAUUAUUAAAUAAUGGCAGUGUAAGUUUGGGAUGUUAAUCAUUUGAAUUUUCCAUUUUAUGAUACUUUAGUAAUCCAGUUACAUUUGUAUUAGUAUGUCUGAUUUUCGGCUCAUUGAUGGAAAUAGAGUGGCCUCUGCUCCUGGAAAGGUUUUGAUGACUGGUGGUUAUCUUGUUCUGGAGAGGCCUAAUGCUGGUAUUGUACUGAGCACAAAUGCUCGUUUUUAUGCUAUCGUGAAGCCACUUUAUGACGAAAUUAAACCUGAAAGUUGGGCAUGGGUGAGUGAUAUUUGCUGCACUUAACUGAAUGAUCAAUUAAUUGGAGUAAACAUGACCAUUUCUCAUCUUGAGAAGCACCUUUUAUGUAUCUCCCUACGCUUUAUUCCUACUGUAAGGUAGUUUUCUUAUUCCUUUUCAGGGUUGGACAGAUGUUAAAUUGACUUCUCCCCAGAUGGCAAGAGAAACCAUGUAUAAACUGUCUCUUAAACAGCUAAAGCUUCAGCCUGUUUCUUCAAGGCAAGUAGUUCAAGUCUCGUUAGUGAAAAUAAUAUUUUUCAUUUUAUGCUUGUGAACUUGCAAAAUAGUCUCUUGUUUCUACUUUCUUUAUGAGGUCCCAAUGUGCAUUGAUGAUUGAGUUUCUUUUGUAGAUAACCAAAUUUGGUGUAGGUUUUCUACUUUUUGGUAUACGGCUUCUACAGGAGUUUACUCCAUCACUAAUAAAAUUAUUUACUUUUAUCAAAAAAUGUCUGUGAAUUUGCUGAUUUUUUUUUAAAAAAAAGUAUUAAAUGUAACUUGGCUACUGUAUUCUUGAUGAAUUUGAUCUGUUUUGUUAUAACAUGAAUUAUGAAGUCAUCUAAAUGACGAGCAGUGUAGUAACUUAUAUUUUUAGUCGAAUAUCAGUGGAUCAAGAAACCCCUUUGUAGAACAUGCAGUGCAGUAUGCUGUUGCAGCAGCCCAUGAAAGACUUGACAAAGAUAAGAAGGACAGAUUGCAGACACUACUUCUGCAGGGUAAUGUCCGACACUCUCACCUUUCUUAUCUGUGGAUGAUGACGUUUCUUUAUACGGGACUCACCUCAUAGUUUUUGUUUGUAAAGAAAUUAGAAAAAUAAUUUCUCAAACUGCAUUAUCGAUGCAGGUCUUGACAUAACUAUCUUGGGUUGCAAUGAGUUCUAUUCGUAUCGGAAUCAGGUGCUUUUGCAGCUUACUUUAUAUCUCUGAUAUGGCAUGUAUCUCAGUGGUAGAUAAUUACCUGUGAGUCCAGCUUGUUGGCAUGAAGUGAAAUUCGGUAUUCAGUAACCACCAUUCCCACAGUUGUCGACGUAAUAUUUUCUAAUUUGUGGCAGCUGUUUCAAGAUUUACAGUGGGCAGGAAAAAAAUUCAUGAGUCUAUAUAAUGCCCUGUCAAUUUUAAAAUAAAGGUGUUGCACAAUUUGUUGAAUGAUUUAAUGGAAAAAUAGUGCUGAGUUCUACCUCAAUCCUAGAAGUGACCUAAGUUGGCAUAAUAAUCAAUUUGACCAAUUGCUGGACUAAUGUUUGACUAAACCUUUUCUAAGUUCAGAAGAUAACAAUGGACAAAAUAUAUAAUUCUUCUUAGAAAUACUUUGAAAAAAUAAAAAAUUGAUUAUGCCACUCCAAGUUGAUUUAUACAGUUGAUGUUCAAAUCUUAAGCUUAAGAUAAAAAGUAGAACUAGAGUAGACUACUUGAACAGAAGUCACAACUGCAGAAGUUGUUAAACGGAGUGACUAGUCAUGCACCAAAUGAGCACAUCAUUUGUAAGAUUUACUUCACUCAUGGAAACAAAUUUCUGCUUAGUAGAUUUAUUAAGGAAGUUACGGUACUUUAUAUAGAAUAUAAAAACAAUUCUACUAGGAUUUGUAUAGUAUAUCAAAACAAAAUUGACUCAAGCUUCAGUCAUCCUGAUCAUCUUAUUGCUAAGACUUAUAUAUCUUGAUCACAUUGCGCUGGACUAUAGGGACAAGAAAUUGCAAUGACAUUGAUACGGGGAUUUUGUAUGGUUGGAAAUGGUCAACUCGGAUUAAUCCUUUGUAAUAAUCAUUGACUGAAAUAUUUAACUUUCUAUCAGAUUACAUUGUGUAACAAAUGCAUAAGCUAAGAUGUCGAAGAUGUUAUGCGACAAACUAGUUUGCCUUUAUUCUCUAGUUUGAUAGUAAUUGAGACCUCUCUGUUACUUAUUUAUGUAGAUUGAAGCACAUGGGCUCCCUCUUACACCUGAGUCAUUGGCUUCCCUUCCGCCUUUUGCUUCGAUCACUUUCAAUGCAGAAGAAUCAACUGGAGAAACUCGCAAGCCUGAAGUUGCAAAGACUGGAUUAGGGUCAUCAGCAGCUAUGACAACUGCAGUUGUUGCCGCCUUGCUUCAUUAUCUUGGUGUUGUGAACCUCUCCUCUUUGGAUGAGGACCAACUCCAAGGAAAGAAAGAUGUAGCUGAUCUUAAUGUAGUUCAUGUGAUAGCUCAAACUGCUCAUUGCAUUGCACAGGGUAAAGUUGGCAGUGGGUUUGAUGUUAGUUCUGCAGUUUAUGGAAGUCAACGCUAUAUCCGCUUUUCGCCUGAAGUGCUCUCUUCUGCGCAGGUCUUCUUCAUAUUCCAUCUAUCUGAUUAAUUUGUUGACAUAGUUUUGAUCAUAGAUAAAGUAUUCUGUUAAGUUUUCUCAGAGGCUCGGUUACGGGAAAAUAGCCCGAACGGCUUCAGCAUAUAUAUUUUAUCAUCAUAUCAUAUAUUAUUAUAAGUGAGAAGCUCCAAAGUGAAAAGUUGAAUUACCAUUUUCCCCCUCUACUAAAUUAAAACUUUUAUAAUUUUCAUAUAUAUAUAUAUAUAUAUAUAUAAUCUUCUUAUUCUCAUUUCAAAAUCUUGACCUUUCAAAUUUCUCACACAAAUUUUAAAAAAAUACAAAUGAGUAAUUAUUCCUUAAAGACAAGAAAUUAAAGUAGAUGCAUGUAUCUUUUAAAGUUAAAUUUCAUCUCUAUCUUUUUUAUAUUUAUUUUAAUAGUAUUUGACCUUUUAAUUUUCCAUGUGUCUUUUCAUGUUUCCAUAAUUUUGUCGUAUAAAUUUAACUUUUCUAAGAAAAACUUUAAUUUACUAUUCCUACAAUUCUUGUGUGUAGGAACUCUAAAAUUUAUUUCACUCAUUAAAUUUUUUUUCUUUCAUCUUCCAACUUCUUUUUACAUUUUCAUUCAUAUUUUAAUAUAUAAAAUUUCUAUGUUUUAUUGGUUGUACAUAGUUUAAUCUUCUCAAUAAUAUUUAUUCUUAUUAAUUUAACAUUCGUUAAAUACUCUAUAAAGUGUAUCAUAAGGUGGGUUUGUCCAAUUAUUUCAUUUGCCUUCUUUGGUUAUAUAUCUCCUCUAAAAAGAGUCUUACUUCAGAUAAAUCUAUUCCAAUAUAAUUGAUUUAGCUACAAAUAUUGACCAACACUUUUUUGUAUUAUUGCUAAGCUAGCGGCAUAUUCACUUCUUUUAGUAUAAUAUCUAUUUAUGAAAAGCUUCUGUUGCAAUAAAAUUCAAAUUCAGAUACAAGUUGAUCUGUGAAUGCCUUUGCAUAUUUGAACUUUGAAAUGUGGACAUGGACUAUGCUUGGAGCACACAAGUUCAUAGUUGACUGUGUGUUCGUGUAGUUUAAAAUGGUAUGAGAUACACGUGCGUUGCACGUGUUCGAGAACUAGUAAUUUAAUAUACCAAAGGCUUACUUUCUGAUGCUCAUUAAUAAUCCAUGUUUAAAUUACAUAGCUUUUGUCCUAAGAUAACAAAGUUAAUGUGCUCUUUCUAAAUUGAGAUAACUUCAUACAAACAUGAUGAAUAUUUUGCAUCAUUCAAACCCCUGUGAAUUACAUAGCUUUGACUAAGAGUAAUAUACUCUUUCCGAAUUAAGAUAACUUCAUAUGAAGAUGAUGAAUAUAUGACAUCAUUCAAGCCCUUGGGUCUUUGGUUAAGUGGUAAGAGCCUGUGUGUGAUGUGUGAAUUAUGUAGAUGAGGUGCAAGUCACGAGUUCAACCUUGUGAUGUACCAAAAGCCUAGUAUUAAGAAGGGUAGAGGGGUGGGUCUUUAUCCACCAAGUUUCGGACCAUGUGCCACUGGCCCUCAUGAAUUUCUCGCUUACUAAAAAACAGAAGAAAAAAAAUGUAUCAUCACUCAAAUAUUGUUGCCAUCACUACAUGCUUCAGUGGUGCUAAAAUCUAGCUUGGUCACCCCCAAGGCCCAGUUUUUACCAGGAUUAACUAUCUGUUCGCAUUUUUCCAAACAAUGAAGAGGGAACAUAGUAAUCGGGGGAGUGGUAACCAUAAAAUUACCUAAAGGGUUAAUCAUUUUUCCUCCAGUCCAAUCCUCAUAUUGCUGUAAUGAAAAGCCUUGAUUUUCAAAAUCUUCAGUUGGUUCUUAUUCUGAGGGUAUAAGAUUAAGGAAUGGUGUCGGGGUUUGUAUAACGUGUCAGGGGAACUUAUGGGACAUUUGAUGCCUGCUUAAAUUGAUCCUUCAGUUAACGUGAAGGAAUAAUUCUCCAAUCAAUCAAUCAACUAUACCUCAUUUACCAAACCAGUUGGUGUCAGCUAUAUAAAUCUUCGUACUCAUUACACUCCCUCCGGGUAGAUGUCAUCCCAACCAACAUCUGCUAAUUACUAUGCGGAGUGAUGAUUGUGGAUUUGAAUCUAAAUCUAUCGAAUCUAGUUCACAACUGUUCUGACAUUCUUUUGGAUUAGCAGUUUGCAGGUAUGGCUACACCACUAACAGAAGUCAUUGAUGAUGUCCUAAAAGCAAAGUGGGACCAUGAGAGGACCAAGUUUUCAUUGCCUCCUUUGAUGACAUUAGUGAGUCUGAUAUACUUUCCACAACUUUAUGAAUAUUAAUCUAGUGAAAAAUAAUGGAUUGCUCAUCUGCUAUAAGCUGGAUGAUCAGAAUUACUGUUUUACAUGUUAGGCGACCUUUAAUGACACAUCUACACAUUCUCUUUUGAUCUCCAUUCUCGUAGCUGACUACACAGCUGGUUGACUAUCAUACCGGCUGAUAGAACUAUAAAACUAAUUUCAGCUUCAAUUGCUAAAUAUUGAUGUCAAGUGUAAAUUUAUCCACCUGGUGUUUGGGCUAAGCACUCAAAUUUCUUUUGCAGAAGAUACUCAAACCUCUAUGAUGAUGAUAUGAUAUUUAACUUUCACAUAGGUCAAUGAUCCAACCUAGCAUGCUUUUGCUGGUCCUCUUUUGUUGAGUCCCCUGAUUAGCUAUAUAAACGAAAUAACUGAAGAAGUUGCCUGACUGAAUUUUUUCCUUUUACUUGCCACUUCAAUGGAUUUGUUCUUGCUCUUCCUAGGCAUUUGUACUAUAACAGAAGUUGUCUCAAUAUUGAAGUGUUAAUUGUAUGUGAUGCACACUAAGUUGCUGGAGCUAAUAACUGAGCACUUGCAGUUACUUGGAGAACCGGGCUGUGGAGGAUCUUCAACUCCAUCAAUGGUUGGAGCUGUUAAGAAAUGGCAGAGGUCUGACCCUCAGGGUUCUCUAGAAACAUGGAGAAGGUUAUCUGAAGGAAACUCUGCUCUUGAAGCGCACCUAAAUACCUUAAGUAAAUUGGCAGAGAGAUAUUACAAUGCUUAUGAAUGCAUCAUCAAUGCCUGCAGCCUACUUCCUGCUGGAAAGGUAAAGUGGAACUAGAACGGAGCUCGAAAAGCUUGUGUGAUCCUCUGAACUUUUCCCAACAGUUUUUUGGUCCUCCGUGUUUCUGUUCACAGUCCUCCUUGGGCAGUUUUAUGCGAGUCCUAAUCUUGCAUUACAUUUGAUUGCCGAUUUACGUCCUCACAAUUAAGGUUUUACUAUCUCUCAUUCUUGAAAGCUGUCCCUCUGAUUCUCAUAUCAGUGAACUCCUUCCUACAAUUUACCUUGCAGAAGUAUGCAGCUAAGGGCUAAUAUAAUUAUUCAAUUUGCAUCCAGUCCUGCCUGUCACAAGAAUCAUACUUGAGAUCAACUAAUUGCCUUUCUUCUAAUUCAAUUAACAGAAUACCCCCCAAAAAAUAACUUCUCAAAGGGUCAUAUUCACAACAACAGUAUACCUAGUGUAAUCACAAGUGAGGUCUGGGAGGAUAGUGUGUAUGCCUAUCUUAUCCCUACCUUGUGAAGGUAGAGAGACUUCAAAGGUCCUAUUUAUAGCCCAAAGUUUCAAAUGUAAAUAUUUUGAAUAUGUACAGCAAUCGGGUUCUCAUUACUUUUUGGUAUAAUUGUGGAAUCUCUAUUCAUAGAAUAUUAUUUCAAAGUUUCGAGAUACCUUUUUCAUUCGAAUUUUGAGUUCUUCUGCUUUUAACCAUGAACAGUGGUUGGAGAGAGCAAAUGAACCCACUCAAACAGAAAUUGUUAAAGAAUUAUUAGGAGCUCGAGAUGCUAUGCUUCGGAUAAGGUAUCAGAUGCGGAAGAUGGGAGAAGCUGCUGGAAUCCCAGUAAGUUCUCCAAUUCCAUAUAACUAGACUGUUUCUUCUCUUUUCUUUCUCUUAUCACUCCUCAUCUAUAAAUGAAUUACUUCAGAUGCAAAUUUAUCAAGACAUCGCUCUAUCUCAAUGAUGUAAAAGCAGGCUUUGUUUCUGAAGAAUUGAAUUGUAGUGUCCAUUUCCUUUGGGUCUCUAUAAAUGUCCGAGAAGUAAAAAGAAAAAUUGUUAAAAAAUGAAGUAAUGACAAAGUAAUAUUCUUGCAUGUAUUUGAAUCAGUGGAAAAAAUUCUAAAUGAGAAAGUAAAGUAGGUUCCAUUCAAAUUCCUACAUCUGUUGCAAAGUUUAGGAGUUUUGAAGGGACAUGGUUUCUUAAUUUAAACUUUCUUCUGCUUUUCAAUAGACACUUCGCUAGAAAAUUAUGUUUUUCGUCUAAUUUACCUUACUGCAGUUUUCUCAUGGAACAUAUUUCGAUGACCUUGACAUUCAAACAAUGCCUGUAAGGUCAAAAGCUCUUAAAGUGCAGUGCACUGCUGCCUUAUUCCAUGUUUAUGACCAUUUCAUUCACCUUGUACACAAUUCACAGAUAGAACCAGAAUCGCAAUCUCAGCUUCUAGAUGCUACAGUGAAUAUGGAGGGAGUCUUGUUGGCUGGCAUUCCUGGUGCUGGUGGAUUUGAUGCAGUUUUUGCAGUUACCCUGGGGGCUUCAUGCGAAAAUGUGACUCAAGCUUGGAGUUCACUUAAUGUUCUCGCAAUGCUAGUAAGAGAAGAUCCUCAUGGUGUGUCCUUGGAAAACAACGAUCCUCGAGCAAAGGAAAUUACUACAGCUGUUUUUUCAAUUCAGCUUGAAUAAUGAUCUGGAAGUUGGAGAUCACUUGCAGUUGUUCACUUUACUAGUGCCAUAUGACUAAAACAUAAGAUCUUAAAAUAUUAGAAUGUAUAGAUUACCUUUCUAGUUCAGGUAGGCUGAAGUUUCAAAACUGCAAGGUCAUAGUGACCUCCUCCUAUUGUUUGAAGAGGGCAAGUAAUUGCCAUGAAAAAAUAAGCCAGAUGAGAGCCUGCUCUAGUUCUAUGGAUCAUUGAAUCAAAAAAUAAAUCUUGCUGGAAAUGAAUUUCUCUUUUACUUCAUUGUUCAAAUUGAUUGUUGUCAAAUUUUAUGGAUCAAAUAUUUAGCUCCAGCAAUGAGAGCGCGUCUAUACAGGAUCAUAUGAUUUCUUGUCAAUUUCUUAUGGAUUCCAGGAUUGGCAUGAUUCUGAAGUUAGGUGCUAAUAUUGUUUCAUCUUUGAACUGCAGAAAGCAUGACGAUAAUUAUGAAAGGUAAGUUUGAAGGGAAAAAGAAUAUGUAUUCACCAGUAAUCUUUACAAGAGCAAGUUCCAUCUUUGAAAUGGUGGAACUGAUUUCUGUCCCUAACAACGAUAUCUCUUUCAUAAAUCGUGGAAAUAAGUUUAGUGUAUGUGUGACAAUCACUACACAUUCUGACAUUUCUCACUAUUCUUAUAGGAGAACCUUGAGAUGUUUUUAUAAGUGCAAAUGCAAUUGCCAGCUUUUGACAAUGAGUGCUCAGUCUUUGCCUCUUUUCUUCUUCAUCUACAUCAAACAAUACCAAUGAUGUAUCUGGUGAAUACCCUUCAAAUUUCAGUUGCCAUUCCAUUUGGUGAAUCAUAUCGUAGACCUCAUCACUGCAGGUAUGUGACCUAUCUUGUGACACAAACUUGUAGAGUUUUCUGUCUGCUUCAACUAAGCAAGAACCAGGUACUUGAAUUAUCCCUUCAUUAACCAUUUUUGUCCGAAUUGCAGACAUCUUUUCCCACAUUUUAGCUUGUGCAUAUAUAUUGCAGAGCAUCACAUAAUCACUAGCAUUUCUUGAUUUCAACAUGAAAAGAUUCUUGGCUGCUACUUCUCCCAACUCAACAUUCUGAUGAACUCUGCAAGCACUUAGCAGACUUCUCCAUAAGACGUCAUUUGGCUCCAUUGGCAUGCCUUUGAUGAGCUCCAAAGCUUCCUUGAGCCUCCCAGUUCGUCCCAAGAGAUCAACCAUACACCCAUAAUGCUGAAUUGUUGGCUCUAUCCGAUGCUCCAGUCUCAUCCUGUCAAAACAUUUUAGCCCUUCUUCAACCAGUCCAGCAUGACUACAAGCACUCAAAACCCCAACAUAAACAACAUCAUCUGGUUCUAUUCUUGCUUUGAGCAUUUCAUGGUAGAUCCUUAGAGCUUCCUCUCCACGCCCGUGCAAUGCCAACCCUGAGAUGAUGGCACUAUAGGACAUCUGGUUCUUGUUUGCCAUUCUUUGAAAGAGAAACAACCCUUUCUCUAGACAUCCACAUUUAACAUACAUGUCUAUUAAGGAUGUCUCUACUAUAACAUUGAGACCAGUCAUGUUCCUUAAAAGAUAUCCAUGUGUUGCUUUCCCAAAAUCAAGGGCAUUCAAAUGAGUACAAGCAGAAAUCACACUCACCAAUGUACUUUCCUCUGCCCUCCAACACCCCUCAGAGUUCAUUUCAGCAAAAACUCUAAGGCACUCAGACCAUAGUCCCAAAUUAGCAUUAGCUGCAAUAAGUGCACUCCAAGAAGCUAUAGUUCUUUGAUCCAUUUGCUCAAAGACAAUGCAAGAUUGCCUAACCCCUCCACACUUCCCAUACAUAUUGAUCAAACUGUUCUGAACAAACACAUCAUCCUCAUGUCCAAACUUAAGAAUCUGCCCAUGAAUCUGCUUUCCUUCUUUGAGUGCUCGAAUUCGAGCACAUACUUUAAGAAGUGUAGGAUAUGAGAAAUUAUCUGGUUCAACCUCAUCUUCAAUCAUAUGAACAUACCAAAGUAGAGCUUCUUCCAAGUUCAUAUCUUUAACAUAUCCUCUUAUAACAGUAUUGUAUUCAAAUGAACCUGGAUCAUCGAUUUCAUCGAAAAUCAAACAAGCAUAAUCCAUGCUGCCCCAUUCUGAAAGUGCACAAGUGGAUAAAAGAUUGCCUGCACAGAAAGAGCUACAAAUGAAUCCAAGUUUCAAGAUUUGGCCAUGAACUUGCUUCAAUUCCCUCAUAUUGUUGCAUUUCUUGAUCAUAGAAAUCCAUUCUUGUUCCUUCAAGCUAAAGUUGAGUUCUUGAGCUUUUGCAUGGUAUUCUUUGGGUAUCAAGAAUGGAGUCUGAUAAAGGACUGAAGUCCUCACCAUCCUGUUUUACACCAUCAUUUAAUUUCAAGAUUUUCUAAGCUUGAUGAACUGAUAAAACUCACUAGUCACUAGUGCAAUAGAAUCAAGAUUACAACUUUGUGCUAUGAAAAUAUUAAAUUUUUGGAAUUGGAAAAGAAGUGAAAGUAGCUUGGAAUCUUGAACAUUUUCUUGAUUGAGACAACUAGAAAGAGUGCUCUCAUCCAUGAGAUUUGGAAAGUGAAUUUGAACCAGAAAAAAUCUGCCAAGUCAUGAGACAUGUGGAAGUUGAUAGGAUAAUGUUUUUGAGUUGAUGGGGUCCACAAAGUAUGGAAUUAAAAUAUAUGUAGCCACUCAUAUAGUCCUAUUACACUUUUGGUAAAUGUUCUACAAUUUUCAUUGGUUAGCCCAAAAUGAGAUCUAUUGAUACAAUAUCUAAACUGGAAUGACCCUGCUAGUAGACCCAAGGAAAAAUAAAUUGAGAGUCAUUUAUUAAUGAGUUGAAGGGCUCGUUUAGACAUGUGAUAUGAAAUUUGAUUGAUAUAAAGUUGAAGUUUUGUUUGUACUUGAAGAUUUUUCAAGUUAUAUUCUUUUUCUUAUAAACAUGAAAAUGCUACAAGAUGUGAAUUAUCGAAAUUUUCUGAACUUUUAUAUAUUUUUACCAAAAUGAGCAAAACUAUUGUUCAUAAACAAGAUAUCAGAAUACUCUAUGGCACCGCAUUGAUAUAUUGCAUUCUUUAUGUUCCCUUUAUAAGUAAUGUUUGCAAUUACAAACUUUCAAAUACAAAUAAUUUUAUAAAGAUCUACUAGUCAAUAAUAGUAGUAACUACUUAUUCUUAAAUAUAAUCUUUCGUAACAAUCUUAUCAUCCCAACUCCAUUAUGAGUCAAAUCAUGAUUUCUAAUGACACGUCUAAAAAAAUACUGAUUUGAAAUCAGAAUUUUAUAUCGCGUGUCCAAAUACAAGCUAAUGGUAGAUAAUGAAUUCCCUUGUUAUCUUCUUCAACAUUUAAUUUUCUCUCAUAAUUCCAGUUUUAUAAAGCAUUCUUCUUAUUUUCUUUUUAUUUUUCAAUUUUAAAUGUAAAAUAAUAUAAUAUUGGAACCCCAAGUCUUCUUUUUUACAGGCCUGAGGCCCCAUUUUCAUUUUAAAGCCCACAUCUCUUUUUUAGUUAGCCCAACAUUCAUUGCCUAUAAAGUUUUCAUCACUUCAUAAUAUAUGGGUUUGAAGCUAAAAUCGCUUUGAAAUAUAAUUUAAAUUUAGCUGAAUUUAGGCUACGAAGCAUUAGAAAAUGUGUAAAUUAGGUAUAUAGCAUUUUAUAUAGUAAUAUUCUCAAGUUAUAGCAUUAGAGUUUGAAUUUCAGUGUAUAACGUUUAAUAUUUCAAUUUAUAGCAUUUUAUUAAUAAAUAUAAUGUUAAUUAUAAUUUAUUAAAAAAAAUUGUUAUUAACAAUUAAUAAAAAAAGGGAUAAAUUAACAAUGGAUAAUUAAUAUACCUAAUUAACAAACGGAUAAACUAAUAAUGGAAAAUGAGAUAUUUUAUUAAUUACAUAAAAUGUAGUUAGCACAUUUUGAACUGUACACUAGCACGUUUUAAGGAAUUUUAAUUAAAAAUUAAUAUUAGAUUAACACGUUUUUAGGGAUAUCAAAAAUUUUCAGAUUAGCAUCAUUGCCUUAAAAAUCUCUAGUUAGUUUAAAUGAUAUUAUUAUUUUUUUAUUUAAUUCCUUAAAAAAAUCUACCAUAUUUUAACGAUUAUUUUCAGAUUUUUUUCAAAUUGGCAUUUUGAAAUCUAUUUGCAUCAUCGUUACAAUUCAUCUUUUUUCCAAAUUUUCACGAUUAUUUUCAGUUUGGCAUCAACGUAGAAGUCAUUUUUUCCCAAAAUUUCACGAUUAUUUUUAGAUCUGCAUAUUUCAGUUCGUCUUUUUAGUAACCUGAUAAAUUUUGGCGUUUGAAACAAUUUGAUUUGAUGUGAUGAAGAACAUUAUGUCAAUAUUAAUUAAACAUGAUGGAAAGUGGAAUUCAUCGUGUUGGUUUUUAAUUAUGAUUUGUUUUUUUUAAUUAUGAUUUGUUUAUUUUAAUUAAUUUGAUGUUUUUUACAUGUAGAACAGUGCUAGAUUUUUUGAUAACUGUAUUAUCUGAAAACAGUUUGUAUAUUAUUUUUUUGAAUGAAAUAGUCAUGUUACGUAUAGCUUAUUUGAAGUCUGGAGUUUGUAUUAUUAGUGUAUGAAAAGUAUACGCAACGUGUAUCAAAUGUUUAUGAAAGUCCUUUUUUAAAAAAAAUAUAUUCUAGUUUCUAUUGAAAUUAGAAUAUAUGUUUUUGUAUUAAUUUUUUAUUGAAAUUAUAUUGUGUUUAUUUAAUUGGAGUAGUUUAUAGGACAGUGAAUGAUAUAUUAAAUGUGUAUGAAGUAUGUAUGAAUUAUAUAAACUAAUUAUAAAUGGUCAUCUUUUUCCAAAAGUUUUCCAAUUUAAACUUGUGGUAAAAAUUUGACUUGGGGACUUUGUCAAACUCUCCGAAAUUUUCUGCAAUUAAUCUAUUUGGAACAGAUGGAUCAGAAACAAAAUCAGAAAUUGGUCAAGAUUUUAGAUCGGUUACAACGAUCAACUCUUUUAAGUCAAAACGUAACUCUGUACCAUUUACAUUGAUAAUGAACAUGUCAUCCCUGCCAGUUUCAAAUUCAAGAAGGAAAGUAUGACACAACAAUUGACAUCGGAUUUUUAUGUUAUGUAUAUCAUAAAAAAAUCCAAAUGGAAUUUCUUGUAAAAAUUGGUGAAACUUAUCUUGACCGAGGAAGGUCAACAAAUCAGCAAACAAAAUCAUGUUGAUACAGAAAGAUAAAUGUGUUUGAACCUUCUUCUCCUAUAAAAUUUGUAAAACUAAAUUAUUACUUUUUAUAUACCAUAAAAUUCCAUAUACAAUUCUAUAUUAAAUUGACAUUCAAUUUCAUACACAAAUCAUACAAAUUAUAUACAAAAUUCAUACAAUAUAAAUACAUAUUCGAUGGACAUUUAAUUCAAUUCAUACAGAAAUCAUACAAAUUAUAUGCCUCAGUUCAUACACAAUUCAUACAAUAUUAAUACAUAUACGAUUUUAAAAAAAACACUAAUAUGUGACUUUAAAACUACAUACUAAACUCAUUUAGUAUGAAUAUGUCAAUUCAUACAUCAAAAUCAAAAAAUAAAAUAUAUAGUUGCAAUACUUAUUAUAAUAGUCAAAAUUAUAGGAUACACAACAUUAAUACAUCAUUCAUACACAUAUAUUUAUCUGGACAAGAAUAUCAUUUCAUACAUAUAUGAUACAAAGGUAAUACAUAAUGCAUACACUCCUGUAUCGAUAAUGACCAAUUAUUUCAUACACAAAAUCAUACAAAACUAAUACAUUUAUUAUGUAUCAAAUCAUAUACUGAUAUAUUCAAAUUAUAUCAUAUACAAAACAUACAGCACUAAAUCAUUCAAUAUUCAUAUUUAAUUAUAAUAUAAAAAAUAUUAAAAACUCAACUCAUACAUAAAUCAUACAAUUUCAUGUAGUAUACUAUUGACAAAUAAAAGCAAAAAUUAAAUACACUAACACAACACAUUGUAAUCCAAAUUUGAAAUAAUCUUUUUACUGACUUUAUCAACUUUUUUGGGUUUAUUUGUAGCUUGUAUCCCUGAUGUUUUUUUUUUUGAAAACUUUCUUGUUGAUUGAUCACUUUCAAUGCCUCUUUGAUUUUGUUUUUUUCCAUCUUCGAAUCAACUGAACUACACUUCUCUUUUCCCUUUGAUUUCUGUGCUUGAGUUUCUGACAAUAUAUUGAAUGAAGGAACAUGAAAGUCAUCAGUCUCAUCGACCAAUCUUUUACUUUUACUUGGGGUUUCACUACCUUCCUAGACAUUCUGUAUGAACUAAAUGGGGAACUGAUCUGAGAGGGAUGUUUGGAUUUUGGGUGAACUGAUCUGAGAGGGAUAAUGGGGAAGAUGAAUGAGGCGAGAUUUGGAUAAGAACAAGAAAUCUUUGCGUGUUGGAAAGAGAUGAUGAGUGAGGCAGGAUUUGGGAAAGAUCAAAAUAUCUUCGCGCGUUGGGGAGAGAUGGAGUGUAUUGGGGAAAGAUGUCUAUGUAUGUAUUGGUUGAGAUGGGGGUGGAUAGUUAUUGGGCAACCGUAUAAUAGUGAAUUAAUUAAAAUCAAAUCCCUAUUAUUUAGAUUUUGUUUUUUAAAAGGUAACUAUAUAAUGUAAAAUUUAAUUAAUAAUAAUUUAUUAUUUAUAUUAAAAGCUUUAAAAGGUGAAAAAGAGAGAAAAAAAUCAUGUUUUAAUUUGAUUUAAACUAAUUUGAGCAUUUUAAGGAAACUGAAUAAUUUAAGUCCUUUUUGAAUUCCUUAACAUGUGCUAAUUUGUUAAUUAUUCAUUAUUAAUCAAAAUUAAUUCAAAUCCCACAAUUAGUGUUGGUUACCAAUUCAUACAUAAACAUUUUUUUUCUUUUUAUUUUAUCUAAAAAAAUAAAAAUAAAAAGUUAGUUGUAAAAAAUAAAAAUAAAUAUUUAAACAUAUUAAUUAGUAUUUAAAUAAUUACUUAUAAUUUAUUUUUAAUUAAAUAUAUUUUUAAUUGAUAUGCUAUAACUCGAUAAUAAUCUGCUAUAAGUAAUUUAUUUUAAAAAGUAAAUUUAUAACUUGAUAUAUAUAACCUUAAAUGUGUAUAGGGUGUUAUUUUUAUUUAGAAAAUAUUUAUCAAAACUUCAAAUGUUUUUAGGUGUAAAAUUAAGUUUUGAUAGAGUCAAUUUCAUACUAGAAGGUUUAAAGAAGAAAAAACAACAAUAUUAAGAGAUAAUGGCCGGAGAUAGUACCGAGUUCAUAAUUUUUAUUAAGGAGAUAUAAAAUAUAAAAGAAAUAAAUUUACACAAAAAAAAAUUGAUAUAUAUAUUAUACAUACUUAAAAUAUAAUUUUGAUCUUAAAUGAAUAGAGGAAUUAUCAGCUAAAUAUUUCUUUCUUAUAUAACACUUAAAACUGCAAGUGUAUAAUUCUCAAAUUUCGAGUUGUAGAGUUCUAAAUUGGUGAUUAUUUGAUUACUGAGAAAUGUCAAGUGAACGAAUUGAAUUGAAUUUGAGAAUGUUAAAAAAUUUGAGCUAACAAAUAGACGAGUUGUUGAUUCACUUAAAUGUUAGUUGGAUUGAAGCAGACUGAAUUGAAAUGAGUUAAAAUUAUCUUUAAAAAAAAUGAAUCAUAAUUUAACCUGUUCAAUUCUUAAUAAGGCUGGUUUUUUAUAAUUUAUUUGAGUAUCAUGACUAUAUAAAACAUACGUAAUAAAAAAAAAUAUUUAGACAAAGUUUUCCAUGAAUCAAUUUGAACUUUACAUCAAUCUAAUUUUAAAAUAGAUUAAACUAAAUAGGUUAAAAUUAGCUUAGUUAAUAAAAUAAUUAAUCCAUCCAAAUCUAAAGGACAAAAAUCAUAAUUUCAAAGGCUUGACUUAAACCUUUCAAAUCUUUUAUAUUUAACUGAUUUCGAUUUUAACGUUAAGAUUUUUAUGAGCUGAUUUUGUAAUUCUUGACUAAAACAAUUCAAAUCUUUUUAUAUUUAAACAUUAUAAAAUUUUGAUUAAAUCAAAACAAGAGGUAGAUAUAUGAGUACAAAAGAAAUUAUUACUAUAUUUUAUAAAGUACUCUUUGAACAAUAAUUCAACUGCAGAAAAAUCACCAACUCCCAAAAGUUCAAUUGAUUGUCUUUGUUAUAUUCUGACCAGUCCACAAUAUGGCUAAGGUCCCACCUUAUACUUCAAAUUAAUUAUAUGGUCCUCCACUUUGUGUUUUUUUUAUAUAUUAUUACUACUAUAUACUAUUUUAGUACUUGGAAUAUUUUCGUGUAGUUGAAAAAGAAGAAUGUAAAAUUGAGUAAUUCAACUAGGUUGAAUUUGGACUAGUUAUAAUUGACUAAAUUAAAUAAUAUAGAUAGAUUAUUAACUCAGGCAGAGGAUUAAAUAUUUAUGGAUAAAGUUAAAUUUUAGGUAAUUAAUUAAUUGAGAUAUGAAGAUUUUAAAAAGAUAAGUAAUUAAUGUUGAGUGUAAAAUAGAAAAAAAUAAUUAUAUUUUCUUGAUAAGAUAAAAGUAAUGAAUAUAUUUUUAAAAUAGUGAAUAAAUAAAAUUAAACAUAAAGGGUAAUAAAGUAAUUUUAAUAAUAAAUACGGAGAGACUGAAAUUUAUACAUAAAUCGCAUUUAGCAAACGCGUUUUAUGUUUUUCUUUCUAAGCUCUUUCUAUUUAGGUAUCUAAGAAUGGUUUUUCAAGUUUUCAACGUAAUGAAUGUGUCCGCGUGGACAUAUUAUUAUUUAUAAUUAUGUGUUUUUUUUAUGUCCAUAUGACACAUAUAUUCCUUUAAAAUACACUAUUAAAUAGUGCAGGAAUAAAAUAUCAUUUUCAAAAUUUGACAUCAUAACAACAAUUUCAAUCAAAAUUUAAAUAUAUUUUUGACUCUUUUCCAUUUAAUGAAUAAUGUUAUAUAAUAAGAUGUAAACAAAGUAAAAACAAUUGCAUGAUUUUACUUCUUAAUUAGGAGUCUUUUAAUCUAUUUUAUCGUUAUUAUUUAAUACUUCUAUUCAUUCUCAAAUAUUUAAAUGGUUUAUAAUUAAUAGAAAUCUUAUCAUAUAGUAAAAGUUACUCUUUUCUUUAUUGAUUUUUAAGAACUGUGCCAAAUCAAACAUAGAUGAGUAAAUACGUACAUACCUUUUUUUAUUGUUGAAUAAGAACAUUAAUUAGCAAUUAGCAUAUUGAUUUGGAUUGAAGUGUCUAUUAGUGGAGAAAUAAAGAGGUGCUAAAUAAUUAUUGAGAUAGUUAUUGUUGCCUAAUCUAACUUAAUAAAUAAUUAAUGCACUUAUUUAUAUAUAAAUAUAAUAUGAUGCUGCACCUUUAUUUCCUAGUAUUUGCACACUUGUUACACUGUGUUUUCGUAAUUAUUUACUACUUCUAUAGUUGUUGAUUUUGUCAAUAAUGGUACAUAUCCCUUAAAUAGCAAGAUUUCAUUAAUUUAUAUAUUUUUUUCUUUUACAAAAUAAUAAUAAUCAAUUUUCUCCCUUAUUAUCGACAAUUCCCAUUUGACCUAGCAUGUAAGUUUUCUUUUGCAACUCAGGCACGGAUAAAAUUUAUUCGUAUCGGGUGUUUAUAUCGAUCCAAUAUAUAGACGUCACAUGUUUAAAUUUACAGCUCAUUCCACAAUUUUAAUUAAUUAACACGCGUUUUAUUUCAUUAAAUCACAUAAUAAUGGAUUUUGGUGUUUGGUGUGCAUAAAUAUUUUCCACUUAGUAUACAAGCUCACUCCUUGGAAGAUUUUUAUGUAUUAUUUUGUAAUAUAAUAUAUACUCAUCGAAAAUGUUACGUAUUAUUUUAUAAUAUAUUAUAUUGGAUUAUAAUAUAUUAUUUUGGACUAGUUAUAUCAUUUUUCGUCUUUGUAUGAUAUUACAUAUUAAUAGUUUGAAGAAUAAACCUAUAAAAAGAAAGGUAGGAUACAAAAUACGAUCAACUAUUAAAUAAAUGUAGGGAAAAGUUUAUUUUAAGUUAUUUCAAAUAAUAAGUGGAUGGAAAAAAAAAAGAUAAUGCUACGAUCACACGAAUUGAUUGAUCACAAAAUAAGAAUUUUCAUUAUUACAUAACUAUCAACUUUAUGAUACAAUCUAAUAAAUUUCAGUAACAAUCAAAACAAACAAUGUGUUUAAAUUAACAACACAAAUUGUAACUAAUUAUUCAGUUUAUAGCUUUGAAUUACUAGUAGAACAUCUUUCACAAUCCUGAGAGAUGGUUCACUAAUAGACCGAGGGAUAAAUCAUUCGACUCAUUUACAUCCAGAUCAUGAACGUUUUGAAUCUCAUAUUCUUCGGACCCUAUCUUAUAAAUUCUAUUACGUGACCUAAUAAUUAAAUUUUAGAUUAAACAAUAUCAACACACAAAUUUCUUCUUCUUCUUCUUUAGGAGCAUCAAUGAUGAGUAGACAUGUUAAGACCAAAUAAAUUCGUAUGAUAUAGUUAUAGUUAGAAUUCAUUUGCAUAAAUAUAAUUAUUCAGAGAUAUUGUUUAUUGAGAACUUUUUUAUAUUAUUAACACAAACUUAAAUAUUUUUACUAGGAAAAAGAAAUUCUAUUUAUUGAUAAUACCUCAUGAAUUUAGAUUUCGAUAUCACAAAUUCCAAACAUAUUUUUACAUUAAAAACUUAACCUAGCACAAUGUCCAAAAGAACCAAGAUCCUAGUCAACAAACAUCUUCAUGUUGGAUUAGAAAAAAUAAAAUAAUAACAUAAAUUACGUAGUAAUGAAAUCGUUUUAUUCUUAAUGAAUAAUUUUAAAUUUAAAUCUUGAGUAUGAAAAAAAUUACGUUGAAAACGUUACCAUCCAAUGAGCUUCACAAUGAAUUAUUAGAAUUGAGUCAGAGUUGCGAUCUCCGAACACGAAAUGAAAAAAAUAAUAAACAAAUAAAUAAAUUGAAGCAGACAUGGUACAACCUUGACAUAAUGCCAACUCAGCAUAUGGGUCCCACACCGAAUAAGUCCCAAGUCGUACUUUGAAUUAAAGAGAGUGUUUGACACGCGCUAAUAUGGUGGUGUGGUUCAGAGUAAGAUAUCUUUGCCACUUGCAAAUGAAAAUCUCACUUUACGUCUUACUACUCACCAAACUCCCACUCGCUUCAGGUAACGCGUGAAUCACGCGCCUCUAUUAUAAUUCUUUGGAGUAUUAAAUUAUUUUUAUUAGUAAAGAAAUUUUAUACAUAUAUUGACACAAGCAUAUUUUAUCUUCGAGACAUAUUUAAGGUCGUCAUACAUUUUAUCUCGUUUAAGUUUAUAUUAUAAAAUUUAUUAUUGUUUUGACAUAAAUUUAACAUAGCUAGAUAUCAUGUAAAAUAAGCAGUUUUAACCUCAAAAUAAUCAGUAUUCGUAGAAUCCAAGAAUGAAUUUCAUUUCAAGAGGUAUAAUGUAAACAAUCUAUUCUAUUAUAAAUAAUUAUUUUUACGUAUUAUAAUACGUGACCUAUAGAUCAAAUAAAGAUAACUUUACGUUAUUCCAAAACUACCCUUCAUGAAAAAUAUAUUAAAAAAUAUCUCCCAACCAUGUACACCUUCAUAUGGACCCCACUUACCCACCCACCCUCCAGCACAUUAUCUGAUUACAUAAUAGUACAAACUCUGUCUCUCUCUCUCAAAAUAAUACAGCUUUUACAUUGUCCAUGUAUUAUUGUGUAUAUAUAUGUAUAUAUCUUUUAGCACCUUCUUCUUCUUCUUCUUCAAAAGGGUAGAUUCCCCAAAAGAUUACUCUUUUAUGGUUAUAUUUUUUUAACUUUUACUUUUUACAGAGAGCUUUGGAGCUUGAAAAAAGUGAACCCAAAUUUUUUCAACUAUCUUUUACCCUUAUAACUCAGAUUCAUGUUCUCAGCAUUGCUUGUCACUUUCUUUAAGGUAUACAAAAAUUCAACCCCUUUUUCUUUCUUUUUGCUUUUCUCCUUUUUUUGUGUGUGUUAUGUAUCAAAGUUUAAAACUUUUGUCUUUCUUUUAUUAAUAACUCUUUUCUUGACAUUUCUACAAAAGACCCCUUUUUUUUAACAUUAGUUUAUCUGUGUGUGUUUUUAUUGAAAGUUGAAAUGUCUCCAAGUAUUUAAUGGUUGGGAAGUUAGGAAUAUCUUUGUUUAUGUUUGACUAAAUUUUGGAACAUUUCAACCUUCAAAGCUGCCAACUUUGGUUUUUUUUCUUUCUAUGUGUAGUUGUUUGGGUUGAAAAAGAUUCUUGAAGUUUAGGAUGAUUUCAAAGGUUUGAUCAGUUGAGUUAAUUGAAUCUUUCCAAAUUGAGGGUCUUUGCUGAAAAGGACAAAUCUUUGAUUUUAUUUGUAGAGUGAUUGACUUUUGUAGCAGUCUAUGAGUUUUUGGUUUAUGCUAAGAAGUGUUUUGGUUUACCAGAUGGAUGGUUUUUGCAGUAUCAAGAAAUUGUAAGUAGUGAAAUUGAGGCUGCAACUGAGUAGAAAAAACAGGAAAAGAUUGAAUUUUUUGGGGGUUGAAAGAUAUGGAGAAAAAAGAUGGAGAGCAUUGGAAGGAAAUGGUGAAAAGAAUGCUUCCUCAGGGAGGAGAUGGGGAAAAUAUUGAAUAUUCAAUAGCAAUGGAGUAUACUGGUCCUUUGUUGUCAUAUGAGGUUCCUAAAGUAGAGCCUCUUGAUGUGAAUUCUAGUGCAAUUCCAAUAGCAGAACCUCUUUCAGAAUCAAGAAGAUCAUUGAGUAAUGGUGUUGCCCCGGUUAUCGAACCUAUUCCAUUGCCGGUAUCUCGUAUUGCUGGAGUAACAAGUUCCCCUAGUCAUAGUCCAAGGGUAUCUUAUAGUUCUGAGUCUCAAGUGUCUGUCUUGCAGAACCCUGAUUCUUCUUCAGGUUCUCCAUCAGCAUCCCCGGGUUCAGUGCUGAAUCACCAGGGGAGAAGAGCCCCAGUAGUCACCUUUGUUGACAGAUCUGAAAGAGUAACGGGGGAAAUUGAGAAUCAAGUCUUUCCUGAAGAUGUUGGAGUUUCUAAGGAGAGAAAAAAGAAUAAGAAGUCAAGAGUCUGUCAUAGGUGUGGAAAAGGGAAGUGGGAAAGUAAAGAGUCUUGCUUGGUUUGUGAUGCAAAGUAUUGUAGCAAUUGUGUGCUUAGAGCAAUGGGUUCAAUGCCGGAAGGGCGGAAAUGUGUGAGUUGCAUUAGCCAGCCAAUUGAUGAGUCAAAGAGGUCCAAACUUGGUAAAAAUUCUAGAGUCUUAUCGCGUUUGCUUAGUCCUUUGGAAGUCAAGCAGAUAAUGAAAGCAGAAAGAGAAUGUGCUGCUAAUCAGCUCCGCCCAGAACAGCUGAUUGUGAACGGAUCUCCUUUAAAGCCAGAUGAGAUGGCAGAACUCUUUGGGUGCCUUUUACCUCCUAGGAAGUUGAAGCCUGGGAGGUAUUGGUAUGAUAAGGAAUCUGGACUAUGGGGAAAGGUAAUCUUUUGUGUUGAGUUAAAUCAAGUUCUGUUAUUUAUUUCUUAUGUUAGAAAGAAGAUGCUAAUAUAGUUUCGAUCAUUUAACAGGAAGGAGAAAAACCAGACAGAGUUGUCAGUUCAAACCUAAAUUUUACGGGAAAACUUAGUGCUCAUGCUAGCAAUGGAAGUACUCAGGUUUACAUUAAUGGCCGAGAGAUAACAAGACGUGAACUCCGAGUGCUGAAGGUUUGUUUCUUUUUUUUUUAUAAUUAAUUGUGCGUAUGCCUAAACUAUAUGUAUGACAAUAUAUUUAAUUCUAGAAUUGUUGUUAUCCACAAUUUAAAGGCCACCUUCUAUUUACUAACCUGUUGUUAUGUGUUCAUGACAGCUUCUAUAAAAUUUGUCGCUUCUUUUCAAUCACCCAGCAAUGAAGCUGGAUUAACUUUCUUUCCUUAUUUAUGCUCCAAUUAUGUGUUUUAUCGCGUCCCUCCAAUCAGUCGUUGUUUGGUACGUAGGUAAGGAUAAUAAUCCUGGGAGAAAAAUUGGUAUCAACUUUAUCUCAUGUUUGGUUUGAGGUAUUAGCUAAUUCCAUGAUUGUUUUAGCCCACCAUUUGCACUAAAAUGGUGGGAUGACUAUCCCAAGUAAUCCCAUAGGUGCGGUAAAAUAACCCGAUAGGAUAUCCUUGCUUAUCCCAUCUCACAUACCAAACAGGAAUUUCACUGAUGGUAGAUAUUAAUAACAUCCAUGCAUAUAAUCAUUUAUAGAUCUUAGAUUCUUUCCUUUUUAUCUGUUCAUGGGAUGAAUUUUGCUGGUUGAAAGUGGUGAGUCAUACCUCCCAAUUCUUCUCCUAAAUUUUUUGCAUAUGGAGAUGCCAUAAUUUUUACAACUUCCGUUCACCCGAUCUAUAAACUUUCUCAAUCUGUUAUUUCUCCAUUCAUUUGUUUCUUCUCUUUCCUUCUAAGCUGUCAAACUAUUGUAAGAUUUCACUAAAACUAAAAAUUAAUUAUGUAUGUCCAUAAAAUCAUUUAUAGCUUCGAGUGUCUUUCCUUUCAUCUUAGAUGGUCGUGAAAAGUAACAUUUUUUGCCUUGUAUAGUAGAUUUUAGUUGUCAUUUUCUAGAGCUAGUGCAUUAAGUAGCUUUGACAUCUUUAGAUUUGUAUUUCGCUUUUAACUGUCCGAGCUAGUUAUUUGACUGAUUGUCAUGUUACAAUCUACAAUUUUGGAUCUAACAGAUUUUCGUUGUACCUUCUCACAAAAGGAAAGAAAUGGGUUCCAGCUGACCUUUACCCUUUUUCAAGUACUUUUAUUAUUCCCUUGAACUUCAUCUUGUUUUUUUUUGGGCUAAAAUAGUAGAAUCUCAAGUAUCCCGGUGAAUCAUAUUAAACGUCCGGAACUUUCCAAAAUUAACCUUUCCUUGCCUAUCACCGCAACAUAAUCAAUCAGCCAGGUUUGUCAUUAUUGAGCUCAGAAUCUAAAAGAAGUACCUCCAGAAUGUAGUUUCCUCACAGAAAAGCUUCAUGCACCAUAUAUGUAAAAAAACCAAUGGAACAACCUAAUUUACCACUGUUUGAAACAGUGGUAACAACCACCUAUUGAGAAGAUAGUAAUAUUCUUUCCAUGUUCUUUUAGCCCAGUUCUCAUUCAACUCUGCUAAGCCUGGUGCUGGCAGUUUUGAUCAAACCUGUCUACCACACAUGGACUUCAUUGGUUCCAGAGAUUUCAGUGAUACCCAAUUCAGGAUGAUCCAGUGUCGAUGUUACACCUGAUCCAGACUAGCUAAUACGUUGUUACAACAUUCAACUUAAGGCCCUUCGAUUGGCCUUUCUUCAAAUGAUGUUCUUCCUAGAAUGCAACUCUGUGCAUGCUUAUUUGUUUCCUCAUCCUUUUAUGUACAAUGAGUCCUGACAUAAGUAUCAUUUCAGUUUGCAAAAGUGCAAUGCCCUCGUGACACUCACUUUUGGGUAUAUGAUGAUGGUCGUUACGAGGAAGAAGGACAAAACAACAUUCGGGGUAACAUAUGGGAAAAGGUAGCACAUUGAAUUGAAUGUAGGGUAUGGUUUCAACUAUGUCAUUCAACGAAGUUUUUGAUUUUAUAUCUAAUAAUUAUAUUGACAUGCAGGCGACAACAAGGUUUGUUUGCUCUCUGUUUUCCUUGCCUGUACCACAUGGUCAACCCUAUGGACAGAGAGACGAGCCUAGCAAUUAUACUACUGUUCCAAAUUACUUGGAGCAGAAAAGGAUUCAAAAGCUACUUUUACUAGGGCUUGAAGGUUCUGGAACAAGCACUAUUUUCAAACAGGUAUUGGCCUUAUGCAGCAUUCCUUUUUCUGGAAAAAAGGGUUAUAUUCAUUAUUUUCUUGAUUAAUUAUUGAAAGCUUCUUUCUAUAUAUAGGUCAAAUCUCUAAGAUUUUUAUCUUUGCGCUCUGAGUACGUUAACUGUUUUCAGAUCUCUGUAGUAUAGCUUGCUAAGUUGCGGUUCAUUUGUUCUAUGGACUUGAAUCUGCUAGCAUUCACAUAUUUUGUUUUGCUGCCAGAAAUUUUUCUAGCAUCAUAUUGCAGCCCAAUUCCCCAAUCAGUUUGGGAUUCGAGGCUGGGUUAAUUGAUUGGUUGAUAUAUUGAGGCUGAGUUAUUUUGCUUAGAAAUCAGAUUAGAUGACUUACUGUAACGACACCAUUGUAUUAGCCAUCAUAAAUGAGGUACAAAUGGAAUUAGUCAUAAAUUUAAAUGGAUAAAUUGUAAAAUGAGGAUUGACAGGAAAGAGAUAUCGUAGUGGUAAGGGUUCUCCUCCUCCAACCUUCGGUUUGAGUCUAUAAGGGAGCUCAGUAGGAAAACCAUUGUUCAUCACUUAGUGUUUACCAUAUAAUUUUCUUUUUUUGGAAAAAUUCCCUCCUUUUCGAAAAGAAUGACCCCUUUCUUUUUUUGGCAACACUUUAAUCUCAACUUUCCACGUGGCAUGUUUAAGGCAACAAGAUUAAAGCGCAUUUUGGCACAUUUGACAUAACUUUGAUUUAGGACCAUAAGAUUGAAAAGUCUUCUUUAUUUUUGUAUAUGUUUGAACAGGACAGAUAAUUGAGAAAAUAUUGGAUUGAAGAGGCUUUACCGAGAAGUAUAAAAGUGGGAUACAUGAAAAUUUGGAUGUAGUAUAAAAAGAUCUUAUCUUUUCUUCUAGACUGUAUUUAAAAAGACGGAAAGCAGAAAUGCUUGCUUAAUGUGAAGGGAAGGAGUGUCAGGUUUAUUGACAAUGUAUUGAGAGAUUGAUCAUGUAUUUGCAUGUCUCUAUAGUGCUAUUCCCUUUUCUCCUCCUCCGUUGUUUUAUCCUUUGCUCCCUUCCUGCUCUGUGGUAUAAUUUAUUAUUGCAUUCUGAACGUGAAAUAAAACGUUCGCGGUAUAAUGUCUUUCUUUACCAUUUAAGUGUUAGUUGGUGCUCCUUGCUGUCUAUCAUUUGUGUGUACUCAUUUGCUUCUGCUUAUAACCUUAUUGUGUAGGCGAAAUUUUUGUAUGGUAACACUUUUACCUCUGAAGAAAUUCAAGACAUCAAAUUGAUGAUUCAAAGCAAUAUUUACAAGUAUCUGAGCAUUCUUCUUGAUGGAAGGGAGCGCUUUGAGGAGGAGGCUUUAGCAAGAAUAAAUGUGGAAGGUAAUUUAAAAUAUAUACUUUUAAGUAUUGAUAGAAAGGUGUUGUGUUAAUAAACAAAGAGUUUCGUUAGAUGCGUUAGACUGGCAGUUAUCAGCUGGACUUGCAGGCUUUGCUCCCCUCCAUCCUCCCCCAUACCUUUGAACUCCAUUUCCAUUUGUGGCAAAUUGUGCCAAAAGUGGAGCUCUUACCCCCUCAUAACUGAAUGGCAUAAUACAUAUAUUGGACCCUAAACUUGGCUUCAAAUUUUAACUUUGACCUCCAACUUUCAUAAUGCACAAACAGACACUUUAACUAUCCAACUUUUAAAUAAAUAAACACAUGAGUCCUACAUGACACAAUACACGUAGGACACCAUGUCGGACAAAAAAUGACAAGUAGGACAUGUGUGUUUAUUUGUUCAACUUUAUACAAGUUUAAGUGUCUACUUGUGCACAUUCAAAGUUGAAGGGCAUAAAUGUGAUUUGAAGCCAAGUUAGAGGGCAUAUUUAUGUAUUAUGCCUAACUCAAUUGCAGAAGAAGAGAUGUAUGUUAUAUGCACCAAGUUUCAUCUGCCAAUAGUCAAAUCUGCUCAACAGAUAUAUUGGCAUUUUUAUUCUGUAAAAUUCUCGAAAAUGAAAGUUAGUUAGAUUUAUAUGUAAGGUUUUCGUUUCUGUGGUUUCGGACGUCAAAAACAUAUGUCAGUCUACCCCCAUUCUAUGCGUUCAUUUCUCUCAGAUCUCCACUGAAUGUCCCUUCUACGGAAAAGAGAUUAGGGGAUUAACUUGUAAUUGCAUAAACAUUCAUACUAUUGGGAGGUAAAUUAUUUAUCAGGACCUGUUUUAAAUUGUCAUCACCUGAUAGAAUAUUUUGCAUUGCCUUGCUACACCGUAAAUGCAGCUUACAUAGUUGUCAUCUAGGAUGGGAGAGCUUAGGUCCUCUUCUUGUCAAUCCCUUCCUUCCAGUUGUGAAUGAAAUUGAUCCUUUGUUGUGUGCUUGUGCCUUGUUGCUGAAACGAUUUUGAGAAAGAGUGCAAGAUCUUGUCUAUUCUUGAUUAAGUUCUUUUCAAAGAAAAUAAUCUUCAAGGAGUUCAGCUAACUGGUACUUCUUCAGUUAUUGGUACUCUUUUUUCACAUUCGAUCAAAUUCAAAGAUCGUUAUGACUCUAGCAGUCUUCCCCAAUUUAUCAUAUGGAAAUUAAAUACUGCAUACCAAUCUCAUUGUCCACUAUUGGAAGCUGGCAAUGGCAUGGACAAAGGACCAAGUGGCUGCAGUUUACUAACUGAUCUCAAUUUUUAUAGAUUGUAACACAGAAUCUCCAGAAGACAGCAAGUGUAUCUAUACCUUAAAUCAAAGGUUGAAGCAUUUCUCUGAUUGGCUACUGGAUAUUAUAGCCACCGGUGAUUUGGAUGCUUUCUUCCCUGCAGCAACACGUGAAUAUGCUCCGUUGGUUGAAGAGGUCUGGAAGGAUCCUGCUAUACAGGAAACAUACAAGAGAAGAAAUGAGCUUCAUUUUCUUCCAGAUGUGGCGGAUUACUUCUUGAGCAAGGUAUUUUGCAUAUGACUCAUUUUAACCAACCUAUCCAAUAUAGUCUUCGUAAUUAGUUCAGUCCACAAACAUACUUUUUGCUAACUGUCUCGGAUGUUUAUGGAGGAAUUAUUUUAAGUAUCUAGUUGAUCCCAGUGGUGGACUUAACACUUUGUCACUUUUCACCUGCUAAUUUCAUCUAACCGUAUUCUAGCUUCAUACAUCCGUUGUGUGCUAUGAUAAGAUCUAUAUCACGAUGUCUUCUCUAAAGAUUCUACUAACCUAUUCUUUCGAUAAAUAAGUUUGUAGUUAUUUGUUCCCUGAUCUCUUUUGUAAUUUUCUUUUGACUUCUGGUGUGAGUGCCGAUGUACCUUCAUAGACAUUCUAAUGUUGACUGCUAGAAUGUCAUUCCUGUCCAUGAUUGUAGAAUCUAGAUCAUUCCCCAAGGCACUAUGGUUUAUAUGUAGCCCCACUUCUCUUUAUUCUUAAUUACACUUUCUUGAAUGAGUUGAUUUUGCUUAUCAUAGUGGAAGGUAAAAAUGGAUAUUUGACUCUCUUUUUAGGCUGUGGAGGUAUCAAGCAAUGAGUAUGCUCCUUCGGAGCAAGACAUUCUGUAUGCAGAAGGAGUUACGCAAGGUAAUGGGUUGGCCUUUAUGGAGUUCCAAUUGGAUGAUCGUAGCCCAAUGUCUGAAACCUAUGGAGACAAUCUGGAAGCUCCUCCCCCUCUCACCAGGUAGCGAUUCUCUCUCUACUAUGAUAUUUGUAUUUUUUGUCCAUGAAGCUACUAUCCAGUAGUUUUUUUGAUAAAUGCAACGACGAUACAUUACAUUUACAUGUCUAAUAGUCUAUAAGAGUUUAGGGACAUAGACUACUGCACUACUAAUCAGCUUCAGAACUAGAAUUGAAAUAUUUUUAUAGAGUACAGCCUCUUCGAUAUAAUAUGAGUGUACUUGUACAAGUUAUGAAUGAUUUUGGUAAUUAUGCUCUUUAUGUCCUUCCGAACAGGUAUCAGCUAAUUCGACUAAAUGCCAAAGGAAUGAAUGAAGGAUGCAAAUGGGUGGAGAUGUUUGAAGAUGUCCGUGUCGUAGUAUUCUGUGUUUCCCUUAGUGAUUAUGAUCAGAUGUGGGUUGCUCCAGAGGAAAAUGGUAGCGGUGCACUACUCCAGAACAAGAUGAUGCAUAACAGGGAACUUUUCGAAACAAUGAUCAGGCAUCCUUGUUUCAAAGAGACCCCAUUUGUUUUAGUAUUGAACAAGUAUGACCUGUUUGAGGAAAAGGUCAACCGUGUGCCAUUGGGCGCUUGUGAAUGGUUCACUGACUUCAGUCCGUUGAGACCUCACACCAAUAGCCAGUCACUAGCUCACCAAGCGUAUUACUAUGUUGCAAUGAAGUUCAAAGGCCUCUAUGCUUCCCUCACAAGUAGAAAGCUAUUUGUGUGGCAAGCUCGGGCUAGGGAACGAAUAACUGUUGAUGAAGCAUUCAAGUAUAUAAGGGAGGUCGCGAAGUGGGACGAGGAAAAAGAAGAGACCUACAACGUUGGAGCAGAAGAUUCAUUUUACAGUACAACCGAUAUUAGCUCGUCUCCUUUCUUCCGACAGGAGUGAAAUAACUUAAAGACAUGUUGAUAGUGUAGAUUAGGACACAGAGAGAGAGAGAGGGAGAGAGGAAUGUAAUAUGGAAAUAAGUUGUACUUACAUUUUUUCGCCAUCACGUUUUUGCGGUUUUUACAGAGAUAAUGGUGUUGUUUCAGGUGAAUAUCUGGAGUUUGUGCCAUAUAUUGUAUGUUCUGAUGCUCCUCAGAGAGAUUUUGAAUGGCAAUACAAGGUUGAGAAUAAGUACAUAUUUUGCAUUCUGUCUCAUCUUUCUGUUGUAAAUUGUAGUAUUUUAUAUCACACAACGUAGACAAACACAUCCUAAUUUAUCUUGAUAUACCUCUUAGUAUAGUGGCGGAACUAAGAUUUUUAUCAAAAAAUAGUCAACAUAUUAUUUACACCUUAUAAGUCCUUCGAAUAUGUGGAAUUUACAACACUUGCCUCUCGUUAAUAGUUUGACUCUAUCAUUAUUUAGUCGCGUAAAAUAUGCCCUUAUACAAUAGAAAUUUAACCGUAAUUAUUUAACGAAGGAGUGUUGAUCGACUCCCAUAGUAAUGGUAGCUCCAUUCAUGCUAGUACACAACAAAGAGAAAGAAAAAAAAAACUUUUCAAGUCUCCUAAUUGUUUUAUUUCAUAGUUUUUUUGUGUAUAUGAUAUUAUAUUAUUUUUGAUAAAAAUAACAUCGAGAUAGAUUCUAUUCUUUUUCAUUAUUGUAUGAUUUCGGCGUCUUAUAGUAAAGGAUAAAAUAUGAGUAUUAGAUAGUAAAACAAAACGAGAAAUCACGCUAAAUUAUUUAUCUAUUACCAUUAUAUAACGAUGAAUUUGACAAUCAUCUAAACAAGUUAUAUAAAAGCUUAUUAGUGGAUCUGAUAAGGCUAUUGAUUGUGAAAUGACUAAUCCACCACUUAAGCUUAGUGGAUGUUCACCUCUCUUGAUUUUGACUAAAUAAGUUGCUCCAUCACCAAAUAUUAUACUACAUUGUUGUUAUUUUAAGUGACACAUAGUCAUUAUAAAGUAAUUUUAAAAGAUAGGUAAAAUAAACUUUUGUCAUCUCAUUCAUGUAACAUACUUUUGGUACGAGUCCGGAGUUUAAAAGUUAUAAAAUAUUAAUAAAAAUUUUAAAAUGGUAUAUAAAAUUUUAUAUUAAUCAAAACGGUAAAAUCACUGGAACAACAGCGAUUUCCUCCACCGAAAAAAGCAAAAUCGCUGUUACUGCAGCGAUUUUGCAAAAUGUGGUUUUUUUUCAAAUUUUUUUUUUAUGAAAAUCGCUAUUUAAGAAAAUCAGUGCUAUUUUCGUAAUUUUUUUUAAUUUUUUCAAAAAUCUCUGAUUUUUUUUUUUAAAAAAUCACAUACUGCAGCGAUUUUGCUUUUUCGGCGGAGGAAAUCGCUGUUUUUCCAACGACUUUACUAUUUUGAUUAAUAUAAAAUUUUAUAUACCGUUUUAAAAUUUUUGUUAAUAUUUUAUACCCUUUACGCGCCGAACUCCUUAUAAGUCUCUUUGAAUUAUAAAUUUUUUUUACCAUAUGUAACUCUUUAUAUCAACUAUGUAUGUAUAAUAAAGGGAAAAACCACAAUUAUCUCUUCAACAUGUGUUUAUUUUCUAUCACUUUUCGACCUACAUGACAAGCUUAAAAAUAAAAAAUCAACAAAUAUUGAGCCCACAAAAUAGUACCACAUAAAUUAACCUACGUAUUAAAAUUUGUUUUCAAAUUUUAAAAUUAUGCAAUCAAUCAAAUACUUUCAUAUAAAAUAUCAUAGAUCAUAGAAGGAGUAAUAAUUGUAAGAGAUAGCUAGCUAUCCACUUGAGUUUCACAAAUAAUAAAUUCAUUCAUUUAGUAGAUAAACUUCACCAACAGAAUGAUGAUAACAACACAAGUAAAUCAUGACCAACAAAAGCAAUAACCAAACAACUACUACAACAAUUAUGGACGAGGAAUAAAAAAGAAUGAAAAAAACUAAAAAAAGAAUGAAAAAAGCUACUUCUGUAUCUUACUCGAACUCUUCAGAAAUAACAAACAGAUAUAUAUAUAUAUAUAUUUACAAAAUUCGACACGAGUGAUACAUCGAAAACGCAAGUGAAUGAGACAAUACUCGUGGUCCAACAAAAAGUAAUCAAUACAUAGAGUGAAACCUGUGAACUAAAAAAGUGACUUCUAAGUGAAGUAAAGACACCCCUUUUUUUCCUCUAUAAAAAAGAACCCUUUAACUCACACAAGAAUUCAAUCUAAAAAAAAAAACACAACACACAAAAUGGUAUUCAAGUUGAGACCUUUUUGCACUUUGCUUCUUAUUCUUGUCUUCAUUUUCCUAAGUUCAACAGUUCAUUCAUCAACUUUUGUUCAUAGUAAACAUGGCAUAAGACAUGUUCAUGGAGUCAUUCAAAGGUGGAAAAAGGAGCCAUGGAUGAAUCAUGGAAGCAACAGAGGACCUCGAAAACACCUUGUUAAUCCAACGAUUAAUCAUCGAUUCGAUAUACCAGAAUUGCCCCUUUAGAUGUUAGUUUUAGCCUUUUUAUAGUUAAACAUCAUGUUUUUAUAGAGUUAGAAGUAUAUUUAAAUUAAUGUAAGUUCAUAUCUCAUAUCAAGACUAUGUUUUCUUUCUAUUGGUUGAUUAUAUAGUCGAUCUCAUCUUAUUUUAGCUAGCUAUUUGUAAAAUAGUAAUAUUUGAUUCAAGCUAGCAUGCACCUCAAUUAUUUUAUCGAGUACUUUCUAUCUUCUGCUAGCACAAUUGGAUCCACGAAAAUAGAAAUAGAAAUCAUCCGAUUGUAUGCCCUGUCUUGAAAAAAUAUAUUAUAGUCCGAUGACAAAUUAAAAUUUAGACAGAUAGAAAAAAAUCAUCAAGAUGGUUAUCAUUUAAUAUAAUUUAUAUCUAAUUAGGCUAAGUAGGGUGCUCAUGUACAAAGAGUACUCAUCAUUGAUUAACAAAAAUUAUUAUAAUACCACAUGGUUUAUCUCAAAGUAUAGUAGUCAACAAUACUAAUUUAUAUCUUGUGUGUUUGAGAGAUAAGCUUCUUCAUAUAGGCAUGCUAAAAGUGGAAGCAAAUGAAUUAUUCCCCCUUCUUUUUGAAGCAAAGGAUAUUAUAUAAAUAAUUAUUCGAAUUUGGCUUUACCUGACAAUUAAACACUUCAACUAGUAUGUUUCGUGAGCACUCAAUACUAACGUGACACAAAUUUGUCAAGACUCGAAUUCAUGAAUUUUCACUAAAACAUCAACUCUCAUACAAGAAAGAUUAAAAGAAGGUAUAAUAUAUACAUUAAAAUGCAUUUUAACUUUGUCUCAACUGAUAUCGAUGCUCUCCUAUUUUGAAUUUACACAAAUAGAUCUUAAUUUAAUGAUGCACAUGUUCUAUGUGGUAUUCUACAGCAUAAUUUGUUAUCUUAUAUUCCUACGUGCAUUAUAUCAUACAAAACGUAUAUAUAUUUAUUUAAUUUUAUAUAAAUUAAAGUGUCUGCA